CUUAUUCUUUUCCAAUGAUUCAGAUAAUGUACAUAAUUUACUCAAAAACUUGAGUACACUGAGUGUGUCAUCAACAAUGCAUGAUAUGGAAGAAAAAGAAGAACAUAAUGAAGGAAUAGUUGAAAGAGAGAACAAAGGGAAACAAAACAUGUUGAUUGAAAAAGAUGAAGAACAUAGCAAAUGGACACAUAUCCCUAGUGAUAUUCUGGAAAUGAUAAUGAAGCGUUUGAAUCUGAUAGAUUUCCUUCGAACUAGUGCAGUGUGUUCAUCUUGGAAUGCUACCUUUACUGAAGCCAUUGCAAACAAGCAUAUCAAACCAUUACCUGAAUUGCCUCUUGUAAUCCUACAAUCGCAUAGGAUUUCUAUAUCAGCAAGCAGUAUUUUGAGCAUCAAAUUAGAAGAAGUAUGUUCUGUCAUAAACAAAAACACAAUGCUACUUGACAGUCACCAUAUAUAUCAUGGCAUAGUUGAAGGAUGGAUGAUUUUGAGUAUUUCUCUUUUUGUUGGUACUACCAAAAUCAUUUUUUUCUUGAAUCCAAUUACCAGUGAUAUAGUAAUUGCCCCUUCACCUUUGAAAUUUCCAUCAAACUCUCCUAUCCCGAGUAGAUCAAAUCAGUGUGUUCAUCUUGGAAUGCUACCUUUACUGAAGCCAUUGCAAACAAGCAUAUCAAACCAUUACCUGAAUUGCCUCUUGUAAUCCUACAAUCGCAUAGGAUUUCUAUAUCAGCAAGCAGUAUUUUGAGCAUCAAAUUAGAAGAAGUAUGUUCUGUCAUAAACAAAAACACAAUGCUACUUGACAGUCACCAUAUAUAUCAUGGCAUAGUUGAAGGAUGGAUGAUUUUGAGUAUUUCUCUUUUUGUUGGUACUGCCAAAAUCAUCUUUUUCUUGAAUCCAAUUACGAGUGAUGUAGUAAUUGUCCCUUCACCUUUGAAAUUUCCAUCAAACUCUCCUAUUCCAAGUACAUCAAAUUUGAAAAUGGGAAGAAUGGUGGCAUCUUCUAGUCCUAAGUGUAAAGAUUGUGUUCUGGUUUGUCUCUUUACUGAUUAUGCCCACAUUGCAUAUUGUAGAGUUAAUUAUGACAAAUCAUGGACUAUGAUUGAAGCAAAGGGAGAUGCAUGCAAUUUUCGGGAUAUGGAAUUUUUCAAUGGAAAAUUGUAUGUUAGAACUUACAUGUCAAGCAAUUCUAUGUUAGUUUAUAAUCUACAAGAUUCUACUGAUAAUCCUCCAAACCCUAUAGUAUUAGGUGAGAUUCAACCAAUAAGGCCAUUACCAGAGUCAAGGACACAUGAAAAUCAAACUCAUGUUAAGGGUAAUGUCUUUCGAUUUCUAACAACAGGUCAUGCAGCAGAAGAGUUAUUGCUCAUAUACUUGUUCAUGAAUUCUGUUUUUGAAACUGAUAAAGUUGGCUAUAUGAAUGACAUCAAGCAAUAUACAAGUCCCCCACAAGUUACCAACUGUGAAGUGUUCAAGUUAGACACAAGAAGUAAUAAGUGGGUGAAGCUUGAUCACUUGGGUGAGAGAGUGAUAUUUCUUGGAUCUAAUAAGUCCUAUGUAAUGUCAAGAACAUUACUUAAUUGCAGUGAAGAGUUAAUUGCAGAGAAUAGUGUCUAUUUUGCUCUUUACUUUCGAUGUCCAGAACCAUGGUUGAAUCCUCAAUUGGGGAGGCUUUGUUUGACUGAUAACAAGAUCAAGUACUUUUCUUUGGAGGAAUCUGGAGUUGAACUAGAUGCUUACCCUUCCUGGUUCAUACCAAGUGUUUGGUAAUUCAUUUAUUUGCUCCUUACAUUUGCUUUAGGUUUCAUCAUUGUCAUCUAUGAAUUGAUUGAUAUUUUUUUUGUAUCAUACAUUUUCAGUUUCUAUAUAAUCAAUAAACAUGUUAGAUAAGCUUCUGAAAAUAAAUAGGCUUCAUUUAACUCAUAAAACUAGUUUGGCCCUCCUAUAAGCUUUUUUCUAAUCUUAUUUCAAAAUAGGGUAUGCAUAUUUUGGUUGUUUACCAAAAACACCAUUAAAUUGUUCAUGGCUUAAAAGUAUUUUAGCCAAAUCACACUGAAUUUGCAGAAUCAUCUGAACCUUAGAGUGCUUUGAAAACCAUCCUCCACGCUAAAAGUGGUAUAAUAAUGUAGAAAAAGAAUCACAUAAUAUAUGGUACGAUAUGCCGUGCAAGGAAGUUAAUCCACAAAAAGAGCAUUAAAUUAUAAAGCUAACAAAAUAAGAAAAGACUUAUCUGAACUCUUCCUUCAACAACCAUUGUUUUUCAAAUUCAUAGUACAAUAAAGAGGAUCUGCUCAUACUCGAUAACAUGAAUAUUAACUAGUGGAAAAAAGUAGAGUUUGUAGUGGAGUUCUUUUAGAUCAUAAUAGACAGCAUGCCAUACUUAAGCUACUUCCACCCGAACCACAAGCAAACUUUCCAGCAGCAUCUUUCCAUUUUCCAUUAUCAUUCUUUAUGCUCUAAAACUAAAUAACUCAAAAGGAUGAUACCUACAAUCAAAAGAGAGACAUAAGAAAUACCAUGCUACAAACUUCCACUCCAUUGUUUUUUUAACUAAAGACUCUUAGCAACCAAAAAACUAAUGGUUUUUAACUAUGUUUUACAACCACAAUUGCAGCAAUAUUUUCCCACAAUUAUGGUAAAUGCAACAUAACCACAACCACGAUAUGAAACCAUGUAAAUCAGUAGUAGCAGAAUAAAACUAACUGGAAAGGAAUUGAAUGCAUUGUAGUAUUGAUUCAGAAAUCACUCUUAAGGAGUUUUUACUUUAUUUUUAAUGGUGCUAAAAAUGAAUUACAUCGUUGAUUUAUAUUAUAGAUAUUCAACAAAGUUUUACAUUGAUUGUCGAAUAUGAAAACUUUGAUACAAAAUAAAAAUCACAAAAAUGGAAACUUUGAUACAAAAUAUUAAAUUCCCACAUUUAUUUUUAAACAACACUUCAGCAGGAAAAAAACACAAAAUUCAUUCUAAAAUCCCCAAAUUUCGGCACGUUACUAAUUUGAUUUUAAAAAUUGAAAGAAUAGCGAAGCAAAAAGGGAAAAGAAUGAAGAAGACUUUGAAGCAAAGACCGAAGGUGAUUGAAAUCGGAGUGGAUGGUUGAAGAGAGUGAAACGGUGCGUUGCAGAGUGUGAGUUAGGUUAUUGAAGUCACGUUUGUUUUGCAAUACCUUAACCACGUCGUUGGUGUAACAGAAUUUGACUCAUCAUUGAUUAAAUUAAAGAUAAAUUUUUUAGCUAUUUAGUUUUCAAUAUAAAUCACCAUGUUGUCUACAAAAAAAUCAUUUUCUAUUUUACUAUAUAGUUUUGUUUUAAUUUAUUGUCUUCGUUGCUGAAAAUAAUCUUCAUCUAGUAGCUAAACCACAAUAGCUAAGAUAAGAGAAUAACUUGAUCAAACAAAUAAUAUAUAUUUACUUGUCCAUAUUGUCAAUGUUCAAAUUAAUUCAGAGAUGAUUGAGGGAGUUUUUAUUUUCUUAAACAUAAAUGACUAACAACAUUAACAAUAAAACAUUAAAAUCAACACAUCAAGUAAUUCACCUCUUACUCGCAUUGAAAUUCAUAUGGUAAAUUUUUUGCAUAAAAUAUAUAUAUAUAUAUAUAUAUAUAUAUAUAUAUAUUAUCAAUAUUAAAUGUUUUAUAAAAGUCUAUAGAAUCUUAAGACUUUUGUUGCAAAUUUGACAAAGAUAAUAUUUAUCCUAUAAUAUAUUUUACAAGUAUAAAAUUAUUAUAAAAUUAAAUAAAGUAAUAGUAUUAUAAACAAUAUCAACAUCUACAUAUAUAAAAGAACUUUGUCUAUUACCUAUAGUUUUUAAUAGGACUAUAUAAUUUGCCAUUUAAAAAAAGUAAAAAAAUUUGAAAAAAAAAAAUUGAGGGGGGCAGUUGCCCCGACCUGUCUCCACCGAGUUCCCCCGGUGCUACUACUUACGCACAUCAUAGGACUCAUAAUUAAUGGUAUAAUUUUUUAUAAUUUCUUAUUUUACAUUGUUUGUAAUUUUUUAUCUAAUUUUUUACGUGAUUGGUUUGGUAUCAUUCAAUAAAAUGGGAGGCUUCUACUAUCUUAGUACCAAUGUAAUGGACUUCUUCAAAGUUUGAAGUUGGAAUUCUAAUAGUAUAAUUGUAAUACCAAAUUUAAAUUAGUUACAAAAACACAUAAAUUUUUAUAUUGAUUACAUUUAUUGAAAUGUUAACUAUCUUGUAAUUAUUACUUUGACAUUUAAUUACGAAAUUGGUUCGGUUUUUUUUAUAUUUAAAAUGGCUGAGGAUAAUAGUAUCAUUGAUCAUUGUUCACCGUUUGAGCUUUCUAAUUUAAAAAAAAAAUUAGAUUUUUGCAAUGACGAAACUAGGCAUAUUGUAUACACUAUCAUCAAUUUAAAUUUAGGGUUAUAAUCGCAUUUUUGCCACCUACAUUAGCUGCAUGUCUCCCACCUGUAUUCCAAUUUCUCUAUCUCAUUUGUUGACCCUGUUAUUUCAUCUCUCACUUUUCUAUACCCCUUUCAUUUCUUCUUCUUUCGUACACCUCUUCAUUCCUACUUCACCUCAACUCUCUCAUUCAGAUCUUUCAUCCACUUAACGUAGCAUUAUUUUUAAGUGUUCAUUGUUGAAAACACGAAUGUCAUGAUCACCAAAUUUUCUCAUUUUUUUUCGUGUUGCCAAAAGUCAUCGAACUAAGAUUCAUUGACCUUUUGUCGUUGAAAUGAUAUUGAGGUCCCUACCAAACUGAAAUGAGUCAUUCACGGGAAUUAAAGUAUACAUUUUUUUAAAUUUCUUUGUUAAAAAUCCAACAUUUCUUACUUAUGGAUUCCAAUGGAAAUUUUUUGUAAUUUUUUUCUUAAAAAUGACUCAUUUUAGAUCAUAUGAGGUUUUCCAUCCCCAAAUUUUCUACUUUUUUCGUGUUGUCAAAAGUCAUCCAUGUUAACUUGGAUUCACUGACCUUUUUGCAUUGAAAACAAUAUUGAGGUCCCUACCGAUAUGAAAUGAGUCAUUCACUACUGACUUAGGGAGUCAAUCAAGGUAUACAUUUGUUUAAAUUUCCUCUUAAAAAAUUUGACUAUUCUUACUUUUUCUGAGUUUUUAGUGGAAUAUUUUUGUAUUUUUCUCUUAAAAAUGGGUCAUUUUAAAUCAUAAAAGGUUUUCUAUUUACAUUUUUUGUAUUAUUUUGGUUAAAGAAAUCUUUGACAUCCUUUUUAUGGCUAAAAUGAGCCAUUCACUAUUUACUUUGGGAGUCAAUGUGUUGGACCAGACUACCACUGGGGAGGAGUUCCAUUGUUACAUGGGCAUGGGAAGAGUGAAGAGUCACAAGUGAGACACCACAUCUUGAACCAAAACCUUAAGGCAUUAGUUUCAUAGGUCUUUCCUUCUUAUAAACUCUUUCGCUCCUCCCUACAUAUCCAAUGUGGGACUUCACACUUGAAUAAAUCCAACAAUCUCCCCCUCAAGUGUGGGUACCACACUUUCCGGUCCGCUCCCCUUCAGUCCACCAUGUCCCAGCCGAACCAUCGGCAAUGAUACCACUUUAUGGACCAGAAUGCUACCGGGGAGCCUCCAACCGUCGGGGAGUUCCAUUGUUACAUGGGUAUGGGAAGAGUGAAGAGUUACAAGUGAGACACCACGUCUUGAACCAAAAGUUUUGAUAUUUUGAUAUUUUUUUAAUAUCAAAAUACAGUAUUUUUUACUUUAUCUUGGUUUUCAUAUUUUUUUGUAGAUUCAUUAGUAAAAAUGAGGCCUUUAAUAUUGUAUCACAAAGUUUGCUGUUUAUGAGUUGUUGGCAUCACUACAAUUAGGGGCAUACGUAAUGAUUUAUGAUCUCCUAUUGUAUUGGUACCCACUUUCAAAUGUGUGGUUUAUGACCUUUAAUGUUUUUGAUUGAUUUGAGUGUUUUGAAUGCCAUUACAAUUUUUAUUACUAGCUUUACUCUAAAAUGAAUUGAAGAAGAAAUAUAUUACCUUCUAUGAUAUUUGAUAUGCAUUACUAAUGACUUAUUUAUUAUGUAAUAUUCUCUGAUAUUGUGUUUGAAAUUACUGCUAAAUGAUCUUUACUCUCUACCCAUUUUCAUUAUCAUUGAUUUUCAAAAUCAUUAUUAUUGUUUUUCAUUAUCACAUCAAUAUGCUAUCCUCACUGAUUCUAAUUUUUGCUGGUUGUUACUACCUUAUAUCUUUCCACUAAGUGGUAGUUAAUUUACGGUAUAACCACUUUGGAUAUUGGGUGCAUAUUUUGUUUUUACUGAUUAGCUUCAGUUGUUGAAUGAUAAUCUUUCAUUGGGUCUAAAGUUUAUGAAAUUGACUCUCUACAUGUCCAUCGUCACUUGGUGUUCAUUUUUUCACAUUAUAAUUUUAAUGUAAGUAAAGAUCACAAUUCAUACCUCAAUUAUUUUGACUAUUCCAUGUCUAUGUCUAAUAGACAUUGUCACAACUUGAAUUCAUCUAACUCUCUACAUUUGCUUUCAUCGUUGGUGGUUGUACAUUUCAUUGUUGACAUAUAUUAAUGUUUGUACAUUCUCUUAUCUAUUAUUUUUAUGUGUGUACUAAAUUGUUUAUUAAGUAAUGGAUGAUUCUUUGUAGUCUAUGUUUAUUAGACAUCCUUAAUUACUACUUCUUGAUUUACCAGAUGAACUCUUGUAUUAUUGUCUUCUCUUAACUAAAUUGCUGAAUGAAUAAUUGUUAAAUGGUUUUUAACUGUUGCUGCAGUAUCAUUUUUACUAUGACAUGCUAUUACUAAAUUGGGUUUGGGCAUUUUGUUGUACAAUGCUUACAUAUUGGGCAUAUUAGUGUUAUUAAACUUCGUCCAUUGUUUGAUCUAUUUAAUUUUUUGAAAAAAGGUUUUUGCAAUUACUAAAUUGGUCAUAUUGUGUACACAGUACACUAUGAUCGAUUUCAAUUCUGGGUUAUAAUCAUCUUUUUGUUACAUACUUUACUUACAUGUCUCUCACUUGUAUUCCACUUUUUCUAUCUCAUGUGUUGAAAAUGAUACUUUAUUUCCCACUUUCUGUAUAAUUUUAAUAAUUUUUUUCUUUGUUUGAUUAUUACACUGUUGAAUAUCCUGAUGAUGGAUAAAGUUAAGUCUUAUGUUGAGAGUCAUGUAUUCAAUAAUAAUAAUAAGGUAUGUAUAAUAUGUGGUAGCCUACUUGCUCACCUCUAGAAAAAAUGGUCUUGACUUUUUUUUAUCUUACUAUAAUACUAUUAUUUCAUUAACUUAUUGUUAUAUAUGUUUUACUGAAAUGUUGUUAGCAUUUUUGUAUAUCUUAAUCUUUUUUUUUAUGGUGGCUUAAUAUUUUCAUAAAUUAGUCUCUAUUGUAUUAAUGUCAAUAAUAUGUCAGUUCGAGUUGAUAAAAGAUUUGAAUUAUUCAAAACAUAUGUGGAAGAUUGUUGUCAGAAUUACAAAAAAUUGGUAUGCGCAACUUCCACCCAAACCUGGACAUCUGGAAAUGAUAUUGAUGGACUGUAAGGUGAUAACAUAUCCUAUAAUUUUUAAUAUGUUUGAAAAAUUACUAAUGUCCAAUUGUUUUAAUUAAUUCAGGGAGACAAGAUCCAAGUUCAAUCAAUGGAGAGAACAUUUGAUUGAAAAUAACACCUAUUUCAUGCACAAUUUCAAUGUGAUGCACAAUGAUCUCUCAUUUAAGGCAUGCAAUCUUGUCAACAAAAUGUAGUUUACUGCUAGUACAAUUAUGAAAGAUAGAGACUUUCCUGAUGUUCUUCAAUUUGAAUAUGAUUUAUAAAAGUUUGGUAAGAUAUUUGUUGUGAACUUUCAAAGUGAUGUGUUAGUAGGUUAGUUUUUUUCUUAAAUAAUAUAUAUUUUCAUAUUCUUCUAUUUAUUAAAUUUCUAUUAUAUUACAACUUUAUUUUUAUUAUUUUAUUAGAGAUUAUUGGAGGGAAGAUUUUCUCCUAAAUACAUGCUUCUUUAAAGAAGGUUAUUUUAAAUCUUAUAGAUUCCAAAUGCAAGUAAGUGAAAUGUGAUUUUGUUUUUUAUUCUAACAAAUUAACUUAUUUUAUUUUACACAAUGUUUUUAGGCAUAAAUUUGUAAUCAAUGAUGACCAGAGGCGGAACAUGUAAAGGGCAGGUGGGGGCAACUGCCCCCCUGAAUUUUUAGUUUUUAUUUUAUUAAAGUAAUAUUUUUUUUACCUCUUUACCUAUAGCAAUAUAUCCUAUGUUGUUUCAUGUGUCACGGGUUAUGGUUGAGUAUUUAAUUAUUAAACUCUUAAAUUAUAAAAACUGAUAUAUAUAAUGACAUAUUUUUGGAAAAACAUAUGUGCUUCACUUUAUCCACCCAAAUGACGUCUUUAUGGAAAUACACAUUUAUAGAUUAUAAAUAAAUAUAGUAUAACAUGUGUUAUUCUUCAAAAAACUAUACAUAGUUGAUAAAAAAAAAUCUUACCUAUGUAGAUGUUGAUGUUGCUUAUAAUAAUAUGAUUUAAUUUAAGUUAGUAACUAUUUUACAUUUGAUCAAAGAUGUUAUGUAUGUAUUGAUAAUAUAUACACUAAUGAUGCUUAUAAUUUAUUUAAUAUUUAUAAGAUAUGUAUUUUUGUCAAAAAUCUAUUAUGUGAAUUUCAAUUAGCAACAAAAGAUUAGUUUGAGAUAUCAAUUUCAAAGUUUUGUUGUUCUGUCGUUAGUCAUUCAAGUUUGAAAAAUUCUCAAUCAUAACAAAAACAAAUUCUCAAUCAUUCGUCGUUAGUCAUAUAUUGUUUCAUCUUAUUUUAGCUAUUAUGGUUUAGUUACUACAUAAAUAUCAUUUUCAGCGACAAAAAUAACUAAACAAAAUUAUGUAGUAAGAUAGAAUAUAAAUUUCUUGUAAAUUAUAUAGUAAUUUAUAUUGAAAAGGAAAUAACUGAAAAUUUUAUUAUAUAUGAUCCUUCGUAUUCAUCGUUACUCAAUUAAUUUUAGUAAUAAAAUUGUAGUUAAAUAUUGUUGCCCCCUCUAAAAUUUAGAUCAAGAUCCGCCACUGAUGAUGAUAUUAUCACCUAUACGCUAUGAGAAUCACAUGCCAUGAAGUUUUGUAACUAUUACCACAAUCAAACCAUUGGUGAGCCCAUGAUUAUUCUAUUCACACAUGCUAGAGUCAAAGAAGGAUAGAGUAUUUUUUUAUCAGUUAAGAGUUACUAAUUAUUCAUUAAACAUUCAUUUUUUGACUUUUACAUUGAUUGUGUUGUAGGUAAGUGACUACCCUCUAUGAGCAAUUCAUGGUAUGGAUCAAAAAUUAUGAUGGAUGAUAAAAUUUCGGAUUUUCAUAAAUACAAAGAUAGGUAUAAUGAAAUUACAUUUAAGAUAAUUGUGGUAUUAUAUUCAUAUUAAAAUUUGAUUUUGUAAUUUCUAUAAGUCCAUUACAAUUUUGUUUCUUUAUCAUAUUCAUAUGAUGGUUUUUGUAUUAUUUGUUUUUUGUAUUUUUUUCAACUUUCAAUUAGUCUUGUAACACAUUGAGCCAAGGUAACAACCAAUUGUCACAAUAUUCCAAUUUAUUUAAUGAUGACUGAUUUAUGUAUAAGGUUGAAAUCAAGAUCAUCUCUGAAAUUGCUGCAUGAACAUCAACUGAGAUAAAUUUAUUUUAUGUUUACUAGUUUCUUAUGAGUUAUGCCCUAUCACAAUUUUAUAAAUGUAUAAGAAAUAAUUUUUAUUACUAUUGGAACAACGACAAUGUUUAUUAUUGGGAAACAAUGAUGGUAUUAUGAUUGUUGUUUGAAAUGCACUAAGAAGGUUGAGGUUUAAGAUGUCCCUUCUCUUGCAAGUGUGGAACAUAUAAUUUGUGUUGUACCCCAACGUAAAAAAAAACUUCAUUAUUGAUGUUUCAUUUAUACACUGAGAUUUUUCAAAAUUUUAAUUACUUAUAAUAUGACUUUCUUUUUAGGUACAAAUUGGACAUUAAGAUUAUUCACCAAAAUGGAAGCAAAAUGUUUGUGUUUUGGGAUCAUCAAUGUGCUGACAUCAUUAAAAUAUUUGCAUCCGAGCUUAGAAAUCACAUGGUUACAAUAAGUCUUCUUACAUUUCUCCAUUUAUAUAGGCUCAUAUCACAUUAAUACACAAUAUUAGAUAGUUGACAAAUACAUUUAUUCAUUUUAUAAAGCAUUAUUUUAUAUGUAGAAAGGGGAGGAUGAUCCAAAGGCCUCCCGUCUAAUUCUUGACAAAAAUUUCUAAAUAUUUUCUCCGUUAUAAGUUCCUUUAUUUCCCAACUUUAUUUUUUUAAUAUAAACAAUUUUAUUAUGAUGUUACAAUUAUGUUCUUUAGAUUUUGCAUUGUUGUUGCUGAUUUUCCUAUGAAUGAACAAGCUUGCUGUUCAAUUUUGUUGUUCUUGACCUAUGCUUAAAUAAAUCAAAUCCUCUAACUAUGUAACUCAAGUGUUAAUAUAAAAACAUCUACAUUGUUCAUCAUUUUUGCAGUUUUUAAAAUUUCAUACUGGCUUCAAUUUUGGGAUGCAAUCUGUUGUUCCCCAGUUAUUGUUCACAUUACAACUAUAUUCAUUCUUUGAGAGAUGAGUUAGUUGAUUGGCAUAUCCAAUAUUCUGUGAUUGAUUCUGAAUAAUGUUUGUUGUAUUGUAAUGUUUUCAAUGCAAGCAUGUUAUGGACUAUCCUAUUAUCAUCUUUUCCUUGCUCUGCUAUGUAGCUUUUUAUAUUCAUAGUAUUAUCAUUUUAUACUUUGUUUACAUUACAUUGUGUGAUGUAGAAGACUAUCAUGUGGACAUUUAUUCUCAAAAUUUCUUCUGUAUGAAUUACAAUUCUAUGGACCUUCAUUCUAUACACUGUUAUAUGGAUACAAUUAUAUGGAUUUACUUCAUAACAUAAUGAUUAACAUAACAUCAUCACAAAUUUUCCCUUUUAUACGAGUUAUUCUAAUUUUAUAUCAAGGUAAUCAUUUAUAAAGCGAAUAUAGUAGUGUUGAAAAGUUUUAUUUCGACUACAAGUAGUUAAGAUUGAUUUUAUUAAUUUACACCCUUUCCUGUUGAAAUAACCAUAUAUUUAGUUGCGAAAUGCAAAUGAUGGAAUGUCAAUCAAUAAAAUCAAGAGGCAGUAGAAUGUAAAUAACAGAAAGUAAAUGUUAGUGGUUAUAUUUAUUAAUUCACUACUCUUUUAUUGUCAAGUAACACUCCAUUGAUUUAAAUUUAACUUUUUGUAUGUUGCUUUUAUUCACAGUUACAAAUCAUGAUUUUUUUUGAUCGGCAAUUGUUAGUUGUUAGUUUUUUGAUCGGCAAUUGUUAGACUCCACCCUCAACCUCUUACACCCUACCAUCUAACCAUCUUAUAACUCCCAAUUACAAAUCAUGAAUUGAUUUGCACUUUUGUGAAUAGACUAUUGUCACUACCGAUUUUUGUGUGGGUGUGACAAGAAAUAUGCAAUUAAAUACAAUGGAGUCGCCAUCGAUGUUUUUUUAGAGGGAAAACAUGAAAAACCAAUUUUUGAAAAUAUGGUUGAUUCACUCAAAAAUAGAAGUUGAGUUCGGGAGUCGGUUACGGAUGAGGAAGGUAUUAGGCACCUCAUACUGCCCAUUGUAAAAAUGGUACCUAGAUCAGUUAUGUGAAUAUUUAUUCAAAACAUUAAUUUUACCCUCACAUUAUUAAAGAAAAUAAAGAGAGAAAAAAGAUUUUUUUUUAUUUUUUUGUGGGUCUGAUGGAGAAAUAACUGCUAUCACGUAUCUCCAGCUGCAAUAGAGAAAUCAAGACUACGUAGUUCUUUCUAAAAUAAGUUUUAUUAGUGAUAUAUUUUUUUUAUUUUAUUAUGAAAUUCACAACAUGAAGUAGUGCAACAAGGCACUAGGCCUAUAGUGGGAUACCUCACGUUGCUUUGAAAAAUUAUUAAAAAUCUAUUCACAACAUAAGGUAACGCGACAAGGUAAUGGACCUAUAGUGGGUCGCUCAUAUUGCUUUAAAAUUAUUAGAACAACAUGAGGUAACACAACAAGACAAUAUGUCUAUAGUAGGUUACUUCAUAUCGCCUUUAAAAAAUUAAAAGAAAUGAAUUUACAACAUAAGGUAACGCGACAAUACACUAGGUCUAUAGUGGGUUACCUCAUCGUUUUUUUUUUAAAUUAAUUGAAAUGAAUUUUACAACAUAUUAUAACGCAACAAGACACUAGGUCUAUAGUGAGUUACCUCAUAUCGCUUUAAAAAAUUAAUUGAAAUGAAUUUACAACGUAAGGUAACGCGACAAGACACUAGGUCUAUAGUGAGUUACCUCAUAUCGCUUUAAAAAAUUAAUUGAAAUGAAUUUACAACGUAAGGUAACGCGACAAGACACUAGGUCUACAGUGGCUUACCUCACAUCGCUCUUAAAAAUUAUUUGAAAUGAGUUUACUACAUAAGGUAACGCGAUAAAACACCGGGUCAAUAGUGGGUUACCCCAUAUCGCUUUAAAAAAUUUAAUCCAAAUGAAUUUAUAACAUAAGGUAAGGCGACAAGACACUAGGUCUAUAGUGGGUUACCUCACAUCGCUCUUAAAAAUUAUUUGAAAUGAAUUUAAUACCUAAGGUAACGCGACAAGACACUAGGUCUAUAGUGGGUUACCUCAUAUCGGUUUAAUUUUAAAAAUGUCAAUUUAAGGUAACACGACAGGGUACAAGUCUCAUAGUGCAUUACCUCUCAUUGAUUUAAUUAAAUUAUUUUGAAAGUGCCAAUUUAGAGUAAUGGCGACAGGGUACUGGUCCCAUAGUGCACUACCCCUUACUAGUUUAAUUUUGAAAAUGUCAAUUUAUGGUAACGUGAUAGAAUACAAGUCCCAUAAUACAUUACCUAUUAUUGAUUUAAUUUAGUUGUUUUAUAUUGCAUUUAUGUAUACACCAAAACAUAUUAAUAAUUUAUAAAAGAGAAAAAUAAAACAAAUAGAUCAAAUAAAAAAAUAAAAAAAAUAAAAAAACAGAAAUAAUAAUAUAAUAAAUGAAUAAAAAAACGAAUUUUAAUAAUAAUAAAAAAAAGAAACAAAAAAACUAAACAUACACAAAACGCAAAGCAUACAUAAAUAAAUAAAUAAAAACAGAAUAAAAAAAUUAAUUAAAUAAAAAAACUAAAUUAAAAAACAGAAUGAAAAUAAUAAUUAAAUAAAAAACGAAAAUAAAACAAAAAAACUAUAUAGUGAACUAAGGAAUUAGGAAUUGAAAUUGGGGGUUUUAGGGUUGGGGGUUUCAAAUCAAUUUUGGAAUUUGUAUGGUGAAAAUAAUUUGGGAUUUAGGGUUGAAUUGAAUUGGGGAUUUAGGGUGAAAUUAAAUUGGGGGUUUAGGAUAAAAUUAAAUUUGGGGGUUUGGGGUAAAAUCAAUUUAGGGGUUUAGGGUUAAAAUCAAUUUGGGGUUAGGGUUAAUGGUAAAUUUAGGGGUGUAAGCGGUUCCGGUUUAAACCGCGAAACCGAUGGAAUCGAACCGAACCAAACCGUAAAAUGUGGUUCGGUUCGGUUUCACGGUUCGGUUCGGUUAUUUUUUUAAGGAACCAUUUAUGUUCGGUUCGGUUUAUGGUUUUAGCAAUUUAGGAACCGUUGGAACCAAACCGAACUGCAUAUUAAAGAAAUAUAUACAAGGGAUUAGGGAAUAAUGUUUUAUGAUUGUUUAAAUUCUUCAACCAAUUUUCUAGCUUAAAUUAUCAUUUUUCGUGAAUUGUAGUAUUAUAUAUGUUACUAAAUUGUUAUUAAGCUAGUAUGAUAUAUGUUAUUAGUUACUAAAUUGUUUCCUAUUGUCUUAUGAUUUCGAACAUAUUUACAACUUUUGUGAUAUUGAGUUUGAAACUAACAUAUAUCAUAUAUUAUUAUACAUGUAUUGUUACAUGUGUUACUAAUUAUAAAAUGUAAGGUUACAAAAAUAACUAUUAUAUAUUUUACUAAUUCAUAUAUAUGUUACUAAUCAUGAAUUUUAUUGUUAUAUAUGAUUCAUAAUUUUUUAUAAUAGUAGUAGUAAUGUUUAUCUUUUUAUGGAUAAACAAUAUCUCUUGUAAUACAUUUUGAAUUUUCAAUUCAUGGAAGAUUUUUUAUAAAAAAGUAAAUGGAAUAACCGUGGAACCGAACCGAACCGAACGAUUCAAGAGCGGUUCAGUUCAGUUCUUAUAGUUAAAUUUUCGGUUAAUAGAGCGGAACCGAACCAUAUAUUUUUGAUCGGUUCGGUCACUAAAAUGCACCAAAAACCGAACUGAACCGAAUUUUUACACCUCUAAUGGUAAUGCGAGAUGUUCAACAACGAAAUUAGUUUCCAAACACAAGUAUUUACAUACAUUAUAAUAAUAAAAAGAGAAUAAAACAAAUAAGAAGAUAAAUACCUCUUUAGAGCUUAUGGAGAAUGAAAAAUGAAGAAUAAUGAAGAAGAUGAUACAUUUGCUUUAGUUUCUCCCUUCUCUCCUUUUUUUCUUUCUAGGUGUGCCUUUUUCUCUUUCAAAAAUUAGGAUUACCUCCCUUUUUUUUAUGAUUCCCCCCUUUCUGAGUUGCUAAGUUAGAUAUUAUAAAGCGGUUGGGGAUUAGGGUUUCUGGUUGGGCUAGGGAAAAAGCCCAGUUGCCACAAUGUUUGAAAUUCAAAAUUUCCCUUUUUUUUGUUUUUUGAAAUUUUUACGCCGGUCAAAAUUGAGUGUUUACAGUUUCCCCUCUUUACUUGCUUAUCACGAUGAGAAGGAAGUAAAGAUAAAAAAAGACCAAGUUUUGAUUGGGGAAUAACACACGGAGGAAGAAGCUUCAAGCUCAAGCAUAUAGCAUGAACUCGAGGUUAGCAGCUAAAGAGCUCACGAGUCCAAAUGUUGACCAAAAGAGAUCACCAAGGGGUCAAAGCACAAUCACGCGACCGCUGAGGGGUCAGAAAGCAAAAGGAUAAAAGAGACCGUUGAGAGGUCAAAGCACAAUCACACGACCGCUGAGGGGUCGGGAUGGAAAAUGGUAAAAGAGAUCACUGAGGGGUCGAAACACAAUCACGUGACUACUGAUGGGUCGAAGCACAAUCACGCGAAUACUAAGGGGUCUGGGUGGAAAAAGAUAAAAGAGACCACUGAGGGGUCAAAGCACAAUCACGCGACCGUUGAGGGGUCGGGGUGCAAAAUGAUAAAAGAGACCACUGAGGGGCGAAGCACAAUCACGCGACCACUGGGGUCGGGGUGCAAAAGGAUAAAAGAGACCACUGAGGGGCCAAAGCACAAUCACGCGACCACUGAGGGGUCGGGGUGAAAAAGGAUAAAAUAGACCACUGAGGGGUCGAAGCACAAUCACGCGACCGCUGAGGGGUCGAGGUGCAAAAUGAUAAAAGAGACCACUAAGGGGUCGAAGCAUAAUCACACGACCACUAAGGGGCUGGGGUGCAAAAGGAUAAAAGAGACCACUGAGGGGUCGAAGCACAAUCACGUGACCACUGAGGGGUCGAAGCACAAUCACGCGACCGCUGAGGGGUCGGGGUGCAAAAGGAUCAUAGAGACCACUGAGGGGUCAAAGCACAAUCACGCGACCGCUGAGGGGUCGGGGUGCAAAAGGAUCAUAGAGACCACUGAGGGGUCAAAGCACAAUCACGCGACCGCUGAGGGGUCGGGGUGCAAAAGGAUACAGAGACCACUGAGGGGUCAAAGCACAAUCACGCGACCUUUGCGAGGGGUCAAAACACAAUCACACAACCACUGAGGGGUCGGGGUACAAAAGGAUAAAAUAGACCACUGAGGGAUCGAAGCACAAUCACGCUACCGCUGAGGGGUCGGGGUGCAAAAUGAUAAAAGAGACCACUGAGGGGUCGAAGCACAAUCACGCGACCAUUGAGGGGUCAGGGUGCAAAAGGAUAAAAGAGACCACUAAGGGGUCGAAGCACAAACACGCGACCGUUGAGGGGUCGGGGUGCGAAAUGAUAAAAGAGACCACUGAGGGGUCGAAGUACAAUCACACGACCACUAAGGGGCUAGGGUGCAAAAGGAUAAAAAAGACCACUAAGGGGUCGGGGUGCAAAAUGAUAAAAGAGACCACUGAGGGGUCGAAGCACAAUCAUGCGACCGUUGAGGGGUCGGGGUGCAAAAUGAUAAAAGAGACCACUGAGGGGUCAGGGUGCAAAAGGAUAAAAGAGACCACUAAGGGGUCGAAGCACAAUCAUGCGACCGUUGAGGGGUCGAGGUGCAAAAUGAUAAAAGAUACCACUGAGGGGUCGAAGCACAAUCACACGACCACUAAGGGGCUGGGGUGCAAAAGGAUAAAAGAGACCACUGAGGGGUCGAAGCACAAUCACGCGACCGUUGAGGGGUCGGGGUGCAAAAUGAUAAAAGAGACCACCGAGGGGUCAAAACACAAUCACACAACCACUGAGGGGUCGGGGUACAAAAGGAUAAAAUAGACCACUGAGGGAUCGAAGCACAAUCACGCUACCGCUGAGGGGUCGGGGUGCAAAAUGAUAAAAGAGACCACUGAGGGGUCGAAGCACAAUCACACGACCACUGAGGGGUCGGGGUGCAAAAGGAUAAAAGAGACCACCGAGGGGUCAAAGCACAGAUUAUGAGGAACUCUGGGUAAAAAAUGAAAGAACACUUGUGGUCAAGACUUUCAGCCAUGCAUGCAUAUGAUAGUGCUAAUGCAAAUGUUGUAUGAGUAAUGCAAAAACGUUUAUAAUGGUACAUGCAUGAUGAGUUAUACAUAUGUGAAUGACUUGAUUAUCAUUAUAAAGUUUGAUUGAUAUAAAACCAUAAUGCUUCUUCGGUAGACAACAACUAAUCAAGCUGAUAUUGAUCAAAACAUUUUUUUUUUCUUCUUCUUCUUGUUUUUUUUUGGAAUCUCCUUAGGGUGCUUCCUUCCUUCCUUAUAGAAAAAUACAUUAUCUGUUCCUCGUCGAUAUACACCUCGAGACAUAGUUCCGACGAGUUUUGUUUGCUUCAACCGCUAGUGAAAGACAAUAACAUAAAAGUUACCUGAUUAUGCAGUUCGAACAUCAUAUUUAUAUAACUUGAGACUUAUCUAAGUGAACAUGCACACAUUAAUGUAUAGUAGGGAGAUGAAUAAAUUUUCUUUUAUUCAAGGAAUUUUAAUAGGAAGAUUUAAGAAUAUAUAUGUUAUGAGAAGUAUUACAAGUUACAAAAUUUGGCAAAAAUUUUGCUCUAGUAUAAGGUAUUUGCUUAUUUAUCAAUUGACCUCCUAAGAUGGCCAAAUAACUGGACCAUCGUGCUAGCCUUGUUUGGUACUCCCAAGAACUCCAUAUUUCAUCCCCUAAUGCCAGAAACGUCUUCAAUUCCAACUUGAUGUGCAAAUACAUGGAGGAUUAUGGCUUUCCCAUAUAGUAGUAGGCUUUCAAGAUAGUCGCCUUUUCCUUGCCCUAACUUUUGCUAGGUUGCCCUUUCGGGUUUUUAACCUAACGAGCUUUUUUUUUCAUUCUGACCCCAACUUUUGCUUAGGUUGCUCUUUCGGGUUUUCAACCUAAUGGAUUUCUCAUUCAUACCCAAAAUUUUGCUUAUGCUGCCCAUUUUGGUAUUCAACCUAACAAACUUUUCUUUUAUUUCAACUUUCUAUUUUUAGGCAUAGACACUCUAGAUUGCAUCAGUACUCAUAGGUUUGAGUAAAACAUUUCCAUCCAUGUCUUAUAAGACUAGAACAAGUUACAAAAUUUUGCAAAAUUUUUGCCCUAGUAUAAGGUAAUUGCUCACCCAUCAAUUGUUCUAAUGAGAUAGCUGAAUAACUAGACCAUCAUGCUAACAUUGUUUGAUUCUUCCCAGAACUUCUUACUCAUUUCCACAUUGCUCAAAACUUCUAUGAUUCCCACUUGAUGCACAAAUAUGAGGGUGAUAUUGAUUCGCCUACAACAUUACAGACUCGUAAGAAAAAAAUGCCUUUUUAUUACGUUAACUUUUGCAUAGGUCGCCCUUUCGAAUUUUCAACCUACCAUGCCUUUAUUGACACCCAAAUUUUUGCUUAGGUUGCUCUUUCGAGUUUUCAACCUAACGGGUUUUUUUUCUUUCUUUCUUUCUUUUUUCUUUAUUUAGGCAUAUAAUCUCUUAAUUGCGUCUAUGUUCAGAGGUCUGAGUAAAACGUUCUCAUCCAUGUCUUGCAGGAUCAGAGUUAUCCAUGAGAAUGCAUUCUUGACAAUCUAGGGACCUUAUGGCUUGGGGUAUAUUGUUCACGAGCAUCUCCUUGAUUUUGGAGGAUCUUUUUAAGCACUUAGUCUCCAACUUCGAAUUCUCUAGAACUAACCUUCUUAUCAAAAACUCUUGUCACUCUAUGUUGGUAUAAUUGACCAUGAUGGCAAAUGGCCGCCAACCUUUUCUCUUCAAUCAUGAACAAUUGCAUAUACUUGAGGUUAACCCAUACCGACUCUUCUUGCUCUGCUCCAUCAAGACUCUUAACAAAAGAAUCUCUGUUUUGUUCAAAUUUCAAUAGUUCAUCCACAUUCUCAGUUUCUCUCCUUUUUUGGGUUCCAAUACAAUAUUAGUCACUCAUUCUGUAUGUCGAGACAUUUCUAUGAAACCUGACUACCAUUAUUUCAUUAUCUCUUCCUUUACUCCUCGGUCAUCUUCUCCAUCACCAAUCUCAAUGGGAUGAUUAUCAGGUACCACAAAAGAAUCAAUUGAUAAAUGUUCAAGUACCCUAUAACUAGACAAAAUCUCUACAAAAUUGUUAUACAUGUAUUGAUUUAUGUAACAUCAUGGAAAGAAAUGGGACAUACAUAUGAAUGUUCACAAUAGUUUGGAGGAAAGGUAAAUAUGUAGAAUGGAGAUGAUAAAAAUGGAUGAAUGGAGAAGAAUCAUUAGAUAGUCAUGCAAAUUCACUAAGAUAUUGUCUCAAGUAACAUAAAUAUAAGUCCAAAGAAAAUUCAAAGCGUAUGAAUUACAACAUAAUCAAGUAAUUACUAUGCAACUAUGUCAAUCAUUGGCUUGGAUCCUUCUCUUCGUCAGGAAGGAUGACAUGAUUUACGAACGAUUUGUCUUUGUCCAAGGCAUUGAUGGAGAGUUGGAAAUAAGGAUCAAUGACAAAACCCUUCUCCUCGUCCCGUCAUCUAUGUUGACACCUGGAUUCCUUCAUUUUAUGAAUUGUUAGCCUUCAUUGUUGUUCGCGCUCUGGUGUUGAAAAUAUGACUUUGAUUAACAUUGUUUUUCCAAGGUCGCGUUAUGAUUCCAUUUUUUAAUUUGUGACUCGCUGUUUGGUUUAAAAAAAUUAUUUUUGAAUUAUUGAAACUAUUUCCAUUAUCGAACGAAGAAAUUUCCACAUAACUUGUUGACCACCCUACAACCGUUUUCUAGGGUUAUAACCCCUCUAGAUCGUGUACUGGUUGUCGACAAUCAUAGAGAGAGCACACAGACCCCACAAUAUGACUGCAUCUGUUUUGUUGAUAAUUUAUGGUCUUAUGAUAUAUAGAAUGAGACAUCGUUCAAUAAAAGAUCUAAAAGAACCUAUGAUAAUGUCAGUCCUUUCACAUAUGUGUAAGUAAUAGAUGUAUGACUAUGAAUGCACUUGACAUAAGUGAUAUAAUGAAUGUUGCAAUGACAUGAAUGUUGCGUGAAUCCUCUAUUUUCUUUUCUUUUUCUUUCAAUUUUUUAGGGAUGCGACAUGCAUGAAGAUGAAUGAUAGAGUGCAUGAAUGCAAGUAACACAUUUUUGUUAUUUGUUUUACACAUGAUAUGGUUAUAGAUGCUACUAUGAAAUGAUUUUCUUUUUAAAUGCAUGACAUGCCCAUGAAUGUUAUAAUGUUUUUUUUUUGCUGUUAUUUAGUGAAUAAUAUGCAUGUGAAUGCUAUGAUUUUUUUUUUACAUUUAUAUAGAUGUUAUUAUGAUUUUUUUUCAUGGGUGCAUGAUAUGCAUGUGGAUGGAAUUAUCAAAUAUUUUUUUUGUGAGCCUUCCAUCGUGGCAUAAGGAUAUCAAAGUGUAAUAGUACCUUAAUUCACCCAGGCUCAUGUGACAGUGCGUCAUUAUGAUCACGGGAUGGAAGUUUUCCCGACUUUAUGCCGAAAAAUAAAAUAACAAAUAAAAAUUUGCAUACUCCCGUGUCUUACAUAAAUGCGUUUGAUCCUACAAGGUUUGUUCAGUCUAAAAGGUCAAACCCUAGGUGGAGUUCUAAUGUCUAUAUAUGCAGAAUUUAGGUGGUACUAGACUUCAUCUAGGUUCCCGGACUGCCGUCACUAGUGAAAGCUGACAGCCCGGAUAUCACAAAUAUGACAUGAAGAUGUACGAGACACCAUGGGGGCCAUAUCCGUAAUACCCAGUAACAAUCCGAGUGAUACAUCAGCGAAAUACCGAAAUGUGCACGAAGACCCAAUGACGACAAGCCAAUGUACCCCUAACAAUAGGUAAAUAAGCCCGGUAGACGGCCGAAAGUAACCAUGCAUGAUAGUGAAGUGUGUGAAGGAGUGUACAAUCCUUGAUAACACAAAUGCACAAAAACAAAUAAUAACCCCCAAAACCUACACACAAUAGCAAAACACAAAUUCUAUGUACAAGAAUUAUUUACAAAUAAGUAAUAAAUAAAUAAAAAGUAAUAAAUAACAACAAGAAAAGUGGAACGAUAAAAAUUAAAAUAAUGAACUAAAUAUUCACAUACUUAAUCUUAUAAGGCCUGACUCUCAGCAUGUCCCCAGUGAACUAAAUAUCCACAAAAUUGGGUGUUUACAACUAGGUUUUCAACAAAUAAAAUUCAUUGAUAACACUUUAUUAUACUUGCAUCUCUUUCAAGAUUCAAUUGUAGUAUAAUACAGGGUUAUUUUGAUCCACAAGGAAUUGCCUAAUAGAAUAUAAUCAUAUUAUAGAAAAAAUAAUGAUUAAUAAAUUUUUAAAGGUUUUUAGUUUAUAUUAUUGCAUAGAAUGGCAAUGAAAUGUAAACUAUUUUUUUACAAAUUCUUGAGGAGAAGUUUUAGUUUGAAUGAUGAAAUUAUUUCUUAACUUGAUACAAGAUGAUUUUCAAACCUUGUAUAACACACUAAACAAUAAUUAACUACCACUCAUCGGAGCAGGUUGUCACACCCUACAUCAAGCUAUGUUGGCAUUGUUUAGCCUUGAAUACAAGUUGCUUAAAAUAGAUGCUUUGAUGUGGCAAGUGAACUAAGGUAUAGGUAGGGGUGUAAAAAUUCGGUUCGGUUCGGUUUUUGGUACAUUUUAGUAACCGAACCAAUCAAAAAAUAUGAUUUGGUUCCGCUCAAUUAACCGCAAAUUUAACUAUAAGAACCGAACCGCUCUUGAAUGGUUCGGUUCGGUUCCACAGUUUAUCCAUUUACUUUUUUAUAAAAAAUCUUCUAUGAAUUGAAAAUUCAAAAUGUAUUACAAGAGAUGUUGUUUAUCCAUAAAAGGAUAAACAUUACUACUACUAUUGUAAAAAAAUUAUGGAUCAUAUAUAACAAUAAAAUUCAUGAUUAGUAAUAUAUAUAUGAAUUAGUAAAAUAUAUAAGAGAGAAACAUUUUUCCAUUGUGCUAUCAUUUUCAUUCAUUUGAAAAACCCUGCAUAAACUUCACAUUUAGUUUUAGACUUAUUGUGAGAAUUCUGUAGACGGUUGUAGAGCCGAUAUUAGAGUUUUUAUUCUUGCAUUGAGUGUGAAAAUGACACGACUAAUAUUUCCAAAUAUAAGUAUUAAUUCUCGUGAUGUGUUAGUAUCAUCAUAGAAAAAAAUUUGUGUGUCUUCAUGGAGCAGGAAGUCUUGGAUCGAGCGAAACUUCGGCUAGGGCCAGAAUCGCGAACGAUAUGGUGUCCUAGUAGGCAAAGAGUGCGGUCAAAUCGAUCGUGUAGGCUCAACGGGUUCAAGAAAUGAGUUCUUGCUACGUGUAUCGGAAGAGUGCUUGUAAUCAAACAUUUGUUUCCAAUAGUGAAGAAAAAACUCCCAAUAUUAGAAGGGGGCCUGGAUGUAGUUUGCAAGUGGACCUGCAAACGAACUAGGAUAAAAAUCUUUGACCACUUUUCUUUCCCUAUCUAUUUUAUAUUUCAGUCUUCAUUGAUUUCUAUUUUGAUUGAAUUCUGUUAUUUGUGCUAAGUGUUAAUAAUUUGUGUAGAAUCAAAAAUCAACUUAGGGCAGCAAAGAUUAGUAAUCAUCACUAUUUGCAUUGUAAGAAAUUUGUUUUUCAAAGAUAUCAAGAUUCAGCAUAAUCAAUUAAAGCUAAACAUAAUCGAUUAAUGAAACUGUGCAUAAUCAAUUAAUAUUGAUAAUAAUCGAUUAACUGCAGAAGCUUUCUGUUUUGCGCAUUAAUAAAAAAAGUGGGACUAAUGAUCCCCGUCCAGGUAUAAUUUACCUUGUUGGUAUCCAACAAAUAUGUAUCAAAAUUUGUUUAUGUCAAAAAAAGCAGGAGUAGAUGCCAAGAAAAUAUGGUUAUAUAAUUGCUAGUUACUGUAUCCCAUUAGAAGACAAGAGUGAGACACCAGAGAUGCUUGACUCUCCAGGGUAGCUUAGAAUGGUUUGUGGUUAAUUGAUAUUUUUUGGUAAAUGGAAUAGUUUGUAAUUGCUUUGGGCUAUCUUGUCUUGGGCUUCUUUGUUUUUUUUAGUACUACCAAGAGUAUUAUUCCCUCAAAUGUUGUUAAGGAAUUAAUUUAUUUCAAAAUGUAUGACAUAUUGACCUCUUAAUUUUAGGAAUCUAGCAAAAUCUUACACUAUUGGAACAAUGCCUUGUUGGUUUUUGGGUUGUUUGUUACUGAAUGUGUUUAGUUAAUUUCAUUUUUCUGGCUAACAACUUCCUACAAAUAGGAAAGUUCAUUCUGCUUUUAUUGACACUGAGAAUUCAUUAAUCAAAGAGGCAUAGUUCGUUACAUUGCUUGCAAAGUAAUAACAGUUCACUGCAUAUCUUCUUCUCAAAAGCUUCUUCUUUCAAUUCUGGUUUGUUCAUUUUCGUUCCCUUUCAUUAUCUUUCUCUUCUUUCAAAAAUUUAGGGACUUCCAUACAAUAUUUUUUAUCUUUAGUGUGGAUUUAAUAAAAAAACUAUUAUAUAAAGAUCUAUAUAAAAAAUUUGAACAUAUUCUAAUUACACUGGUUGCAUAUAAUUUUAAACUCCCGGUUCCUUCUUUUGAGAUAAACAUAAACACAAAUUAGGGCAUAGAUCAUAAAUCAAUUGAUAAGAGUUGUUCUAGCAUAAUAAGGAUUCUCAAGUUCAAAUAUCUUGAAAUGUCUUGCAGGGUGAUUUGAUUUAAAUUGCAUAUCGCAUCACGUGAUGCAACCGCAAAUUAUUUUUUUAGUUUAUCAAUACAAGUUUAUAUCUUCUUGAUUCUUUAACAACUCUCCUACCUACUAUGUACACACACAAAAUUUACACUCACUUUAUCAUAUAUUUUGGUUCAAGCCAUUGAACAAAACUGAUAUAAAUGUAACUUUUUCUUUUCUAAUGAUUCAGAUGAUGUACAUAACCUACUCAAAAACUUGAGUACACUGAGUGAGUCAUCAACAAUGCAUGAUAUGGAAGAAGAAGAAGAACAUGAUGAAGGAAUAGUUGAAAGAGAAAACAAAGGGAAACAAAACAUGUUGAUUGGAAAAGAUGACGAAUAUAGCAAAUGGACACAUAUCCCUACUGAUAUUCUGGAAAUGAUAAUGAAGCGUUUGAAACUGAUAGAUUACCUUCGAACUAGUGCAGUGUGUUCAUCUUGGAAGGCUACUUUUACUGAAGUCAUUGCAAACAAGCAUAUCAAACCAUUACCUGAAUUGCCUCUUGUAAUCCUGCAAUCGCAAAAGAUUCCUACCUCAGCAAGCAGUGUUUUGAGAAUCAAAUCAGAAGAAAUAUGUUCAAAAAUGGAAUUUAGUUCUGUCAUAAACAAAAACACAAUGCUACAUGAUAUUAACCAUAUAUAUCAUGGCAUAGUUGAAGGAUGGAUGAUUUUGAGUAUUUCUCUUUUUGUUGGUACUGCCAAAAUCAUCUUUUUCUUGAAUCCAAUUACGAGUGAUGUAGUAAUUGUCCCUUCACCUUUGAAAUUUCCAUCAAACUCUCCUAUUCCAAGUACAUCAAAUUUGAAAAUGGGAAGAAUGGUGGCAUCUUCUAGUCCUAAGUGUAAAGAUUGUGUUCUGGUUUGUCUCUUUACUGAUUAUGCCCACAUUGCAUAUUGUAGAGUUAAUUUUGACAAAUCAUGGAAAAUGAUUGAAGCAAAGGGGGAUGUAGAAAAUUUUCUGGAUGUGGAAAUUUUCAAUGGUAAAUUGUAUGUUACAACUUACAUGCCAAACAUUGCUAUUUUAGUUUAUGAUCUGCCAGAUUCUACUGAGAAUCCUCCAAAGCCUAUAGUAUUAGCUGAGAUUCCACCAAUAAGGCCAUUACCAGAAUCAAGGACACAUGAAAAUCAAAUUCAUGUUAAGGGUAAUGUCAUUCGAUUUCUAACAACAGGUUAUGCAGCAGAAGAGUUAUUGCUCAUAUACUUGUUUAACAAUUAUGUUUUUGAAAAUGAUAAUGUUGCCUAUAUGAAUGUUGUCAAGCAAUAUGCAAGUCCCCCUCAAGUUACCAAAUGUGAAGUGUUCAAGUUAGACACAAGAAGUAAUAAGUGGGUGAAGCUUGAUCACUUGGGUGACAGAGUGAUAUUUCUUGGAUAUGAUAAGUCCUACGUAAUGUCAAGAACAUUACUUAAUUGCAGUGAAGAGUUAAUUGCAGAGAAUAGUGUCUAUUUUGCUCUUUACUUUCCAUGUCCAGAACCAUGGUCGAAAGCUCAAUUGGGGAGGCUUUGUUUGACUGAUAACAAGAUCAAGUACUUUUCUUUGGAGGAAUUUGGAGUUGAACUAUAUGCUUACCCUUCCUGGUUCUUACCAAGUGCUUGGUAGUUCGUUAUUUUGCUGCUUACAUUUGCUUUAGGUUUCACCAUUGUCAUCUAUGAAUUGAUUGAUAUUUUUUUUGUAUCAUACAUUUUCAUGAAUCCUCCAUGCUAAAAGUGGUGUAAUAAUGUAGAAAAAGAAUCACAUAAUUUGGAAUUAAAGUCGUUGCUGAUCGCUGUUUUGAUGCAAAAUAUAUGGUACGAUAUGCCGUGCAAGGAAGUUAAUCCAGAAAAAGAGCAUUAAAUUGUAAAGCUAACAAAACAAGAAAAGACUUAUCUGAACUCUUCCUUCAACAACCAUUCUUUUUCAAGCUCUUCCUCCAGUUUUCUCUGCAGAAGAUCCAGUUCUGCAUCAGUAGUAGUCUCACAUCUAGCUUCCUCUGUUUUUUGCUUGCAUGCAUCAAUUUUUUCCUGAUAAUCUGAUUCAUCUAAGCACAGGUCAAAUGCAUAAUACAAUAAAGAGGAUCUGCUCAUACUCCAUAACAUGAACAUUAACUAGUAGAAAAAGGGUAGAGUUUGUAGUGGAGUUCUUUUAGAUCAUAAUAGACAGCAUGCCAUACUUAAGCUACUUCCACGCGAACCACAAGCAAACUUUCCAGCAGCAUUAAUAAGAAUUCUAGAGAAUGAGGGAAGAAAAAAGAGAGACUAUCACAUUCCAUACCCUUCUCAUUCACUCCAUUCCUCCCUAAAUACUCAUCUAAUCAGACGUAAUCCUUGAGGAGGGUGUUAGGGACACGCACCCUCUCUCCAUUCCUUGUUCCCUCAUUUCCAGCAAUGCUAACAAACUCUUUUUUCUUGCCUAACCGUUUCAUGUGGUCCCCUACUGCUGACUCACCCUCUUCUAGAAGUUGUGGCCCUUUCUUCAUUACAAUGUUAUCCCCAUUUGAAGCAACCUUGUCCUCAAGGUUAAGAGAAGGAAAUUCAAGUUGUAUCUCUGCAAGAUUUUCCCAUGUUGCUUUGGUUGGAGAUGUGUUCUCCCAUUGUACCAACACUUGUGGAAUUAAUUGAGUUCCUCGUAUGAUAGUUCGUUGAUUGAGUACGGCUUUAGGCAUGAUCACUGGUCAUGUGUCUGCGGUUGUUAAAGGCAAAGGCAUAUAAGUUUCACUUGAAUCUCCUCUAAACUGUUUUAGCUGUGAGACAUGAAAAACUGGGUGUACUUUUGCUUGUUCUGGUAGUUGUAACUUGUAAGCUACCUCUCAUAUUUUGGCUAUAAUUUUGAACGGACCAAAAUAUCUCAUUCCCAAUUUCUGAUUCCUCCUUAGUGCUGCGGAUUGUUGACGAUAUGUUUGUAGCUUCACUAACACCAUAUCAUCAAUUUGGAAUUGGAUGUCUCUUCUCUUUUUGUCAGCCUCUUGUUUCAUAUAAUGAUGUGCUUUUGCUAAAUUCUCUUUCAGCUGUUGGAGAAUUUUAUCCCUAUCCAUUAGUAAUUCUUGUGUUGUAGGUGGGUCUUGUGAGUGAGGGACAUAUCUAACUAGGGUCGGGGGAUCCCUUCCAUAUAAAGCUUUAAAUGGUGUCAUCCCUAUACUUGUCUGAAAAGCUGUGUUAUACCAAUAUUCAGCCCAAGCUAAUGCCUUAAACCAUGCUCUUGGAUUAGUGUAAGUGAAGCAACGUAAGAACAUCUCCACACAUUUAUUCAAUACUUCGGAUUGCCCAUCUGUUUAGGGAUGGUAUGCUGAACUCAUUGCUAAAGUAGUGCCUUUGUAACUGAAAUAAAUGCUUCCAGAAAUUACUCGUGAAUACCUUGUCUCUAUCUGAUACAAUGGAGAUAGGAAGACCAUGCAACCUGACAAUUUGGUUCAUGAACACUUCAGCUACACCUCUACUCGUGUAAUCACCUUUAAGGCCUAUAAAGUGUGCAAAUUUUGAUAAUUUGUCUAUCACCACCAGUAUUACAGUGAAUCCAUGCGAAUUGGCUACAUCUUCCCAAAACUGAGUUGGGAUUGGUAAUGGUUGGAGGAAACCAUCAGGCAGAGUGUGUGUUGUUUUGGCUUGUUGACAAAUGGAAUAAUUCCUUACGAAUUCUUGAAUGUCCUUGUUCAUAUUGUGCCAAUAAAACUAAGACCCAUUCCUGGCUUUGGUUCUAGUCAGGCCUGAGUGGCCUCCAAUUGGGGAAUUGUAGUACUCAUAUAGAAUUAGCUGUUAGGCACUACUAAUUUUCCUUUCCAAAAUAAUAGGCCACCUCUUGUAGAAUAAUUAGGUGUAGCAGUGGGUUGGGACAAGCAGGAUGUUAUUAUCUCCUGCAACUUAGCAUCUGUUAUUGUGGUCUGCUUAAGGUUUGAUACAAAAUCAUUGUGAGGUUCUGACUAUGCUAACAAAAACACCCUCGAUAAUGCAUAUGCGGCCAAAUUCUCCUUGCCUGACUUAUACUCAAUUGUAAAGUCAUAUCCCAAGAAUUUGUGUAACCAUUAUUGUUGGUCAGGUGUUUGAAGAGUUUGAUCCAUCAAACUUUUCAAACUCUUUUGAUCUGUUCUGAUUAGAAAUUUUUGUCCCAGCAAAUAAUGCCUGAACUUGGCAAUUGCUUCUGAAAUUGCAAACAUUUCUCUGAAAUAUGCAUACUUCUUUUGGUUUCUAGGUACUUACGUUUUGGAAAAGUAUGCAAUUGGGUGUCCAUUCUGAUGCAACACUAUCCCUACUCCACUUCCAAAAGCGUCUAUUUCUAAGAUGAAUGGAUGUGUGAAGUUGGGUAAUGCUAACACUAGAGCUGAAGUCAUGGCUUCUUUUAAAUUCGCAAAAGCCAUUGCAACAUCUUUAUUCCAACCAAAUGAGUCAUUUCUUAGCAUAUCUGUCAAAGGAGCAGCAAUGUUAGCAUAUGUUUUGAUGAAUCUUCUAUAGUAUCCUAUCAAGCCUAAGAAUCCUCUUAGUUGUUUGAGAUUCUUAGGUGUAGGCCAUUGUAACAUUGCUUGGAUUUUAUUGGCAUCCAUUGUUACCCCCUAUCCUGAGACUAUAUGGCCUAAAUAUUCUAUUUGCUCCACACCAAAAGAGCAUUUAGAAAGCUUAGCAAAUAAUACUUGUUGUUGUAGAGUUUUUAGGACAUUUUCCAAAUGCACUAAAUGUUCAUACCAUGCAGUGCUAUAUACCAAUAUAUCAUCGAAGAAUACCAAGACAUAUUUUCUUAAAGCAUGCAGAAAUAUGUGAUUCAUCAAGCUUUGAAAUGUGGCUGGGGCAUUAGUAAGCCCAAAUGGCAUUACUAACCACUCAUAAUGUCCAUGGUGUGUUCGAAAAGCAGAUUUGUAUCUAUCAUCUAGUUUAGCAAAAUUUGGUGAUAGCCUGAUCUUAGGUCUAUUUUUGAAAAGGAUUUAGCACCAAAUAAUUCAUCUAGAAGUUCAUCCACAGUAGGAAUGGGGAAGCUAUCUCAAAUUGUCACUGCAUUUAGAGCUCUGUAAUCCGUGCAGAAUCUCCAACUCCCAUCCUUUUCUUACAAGUAUAAUUGGAGAAGAGAAAGGACUCAUGCUAGUUGUAAUGAUGCCUUGGUUCAACAUUUCUUGAACCAUUUUCUCUAUUUGUUCUUUUUGACUAUGAGGAUAUCUAUAUGGACGAACUUUGAUUGGUGCUACUCCUUCUUUUAAGUGUAUAGCAUGUGUAUGUUCCCUUGGAGGGGGUAAUCCUGUUGGGCAAUCAAAAACUGCUUUGUAGUUGUGCAACAGUAAAGCAAGCUCAGGAUCAAUAUCACUAGGUAAUUCCUUAAGAAUAUCUGCUGGUACUUUGGGUUUCACCAUUUGAAUGGUAAACAAUUCAAUAAUUGCAUCACUAUGUUGCAUUCUCCUUAUUUGGUUUAAUUGGGCUUGUGCUGGUCUCAUUUGUUUCUCUCCCCGCAAUGUCACAAAUGUGCCUUGUUGAAAAAAUUUCAGGCUCAGGGCUGUAUAAUCUGCAACAUGAGCCCCAAGGGUUGCAAGCCAUGAAGUUCCCAAUAUCAAAUCUGCACCUACAAUUGGAAGGAGGUAAACUAGCACCACUAAGUCAUGUCCUUGCACCUUAAUUGGUAACUCUUGGAUUAAUCCUUCUAGUGUCAUUGAUUGUCCAUUCCCCACUAAUACUUUAAAACAAGGAGCUGGUUCAAUUGGAAAUUUAAGGCAUUGAGCUACCCUUGGUUGUAGAAAUUUAUCUGAACUCCUUCCAUCAACUAAUAUUUGUACUUUGAUACUGCCAAUUUGUCCUUGGAAUCUUAAUGUGCCCAUUCUAUUUGUCCUUGGAAUCUUAAUGUGCCCAUUCCAUUUGUCCCUGGAAUCUUAAUGUGCCCAUUCCAUUUGUCCCUUUCAUAGCAUUAAGAGACAAAUGAUGUUCCUCUUCUCUUGUACCUUGUUCCAUAUGAGCCCAUUCAUUGGAUUCCUUGACAUUUUCAGUUGGUUCUUGCUCUUCAUCAUCAUAUUGCAAAAUCAUCAAUUGUUUGUUAGGACACCUAUGAUUGAAUGAAAAAUUUUCAUCACACCAAUAGCAUAAGCCUUUUUCCCUUCUCAAUUGUAGUUCAGCAGGUGAUAUUCUUUUAAUGUUAGUAUUUUUUUGUAGAAGAUUCAUUGGUCUAGUUGGUGGUGUAUUGAGUAUGGGUGGGUUAUAUUUUUGUGGAAAUUCUGUUUUGGUUGGGAAUCUGCUCUACAUUGAGCCUGUAGAAAACUGGUUUUGGAUUUUGUGAGGUCUAGAAUGUAGGCAAUCGUUUUCUUCAUAUACUUUGGCUAAUGAUACGGCUUUGACAAUUGAGAUUGGAGUAUGAAUCAUUACUUCUCUUCAUAUCUCUGCUUUCAAUCCACUGAUAAAACAGUCUAUCAAUGCAUCAUUGCUGAUUCCAUAGACUCUAUUAGCUAAUAAAGUAAAUUGCAUAUAAUACUCAGUAGCUGUACCUGUUUGGGUUAAUUUGAACAAUGUUGCUCUAGGACAUUCAUAAAUUGAAGGGCCAAAAUCCAAUUCCAAUGCUCUUGUAAAUUCUAACCAUGAAUAGAAAGGAUUUGUUCACGGCAUCAUUUGAAACCAAGGUACCACUUCUUGAUCCAAGUGAACCGAAGUGAUGGUUAAUCUAUCAUUAUCAGGUGUAGCAUAAUACCCAAAAAUUGUUCUGCCUUAAAAAUUUAAUCAUGGACGUUCUUCCCAUCAAAACGUGGAAAUUCAAGUUUGAUGUUUCUAACUUGAAAAGGUGUUCUGUUUGAGUUACCUGCACCAUGGAAGCUUUGAUGUUGUUGUUUUGCCUCACUAAUUUGCUGGAUAGUGAGAUAUGUCCCCUUUUGCCAAGCCUCGGUUCUUUCGAAUUUGGAAUCGGUUGUAGACUCCAGGUGUUCCAAUUGAGUUUGUAAAUCUUCAUGAAUUGCUUUAAUGGUAUUUGUAUUUCGUUUGAUCUCACUGCUCAUUUCUUUCAUCCUAGUGUUUUCUACCAUAGUGAGAUGAAAGCACCAAUGUAAUGUUAUGAGUUUUGCUGGAUAAGAACGUGUAUUAUUGAAUAGAAAAGCAGAGCUUACGUCUGCAUGAGUUACAUAAAGAGAAAGCCAGUACAAUGGAAAUCAGGAAAUUAUAGAGAAUGAGGGAAGAAAAAAGAGAGACUAUCACAUUUCAUACCCUUCUCAUUCACUCCAUUCCUCCCUAAAUGCUCAUCUAAUCAUACGUAAUCCUUGAGGAGGGCGUUAGGGACACACACCCUCUCUCCAUGCCUUGUUCCCUCCUUUUCAGCACUGCUAAUAAACUCUAUUUUCUUGCCUAACUAUUUCAUGUGGUGCCCUACUACUGACUCACACUCUUCUAGAAGUUGUGGCCCUUUCUUCAUUACACAUUGAUUCAUAUUAUAGAUAUUCAACAAAGUUUUACAUUUAUUGUCGAAUAUGGAAACUUGAUACAAAAUGGAAACUUUGAUACAAAAUAUUAAAUUCCCACAUUUAUUUUUAAACAACACAGAAGCAGGAAAAAAACACAAAAUUCAUUCUAAAAUCCCCAAAUUUCGGCACGUUACUAAUUUGAUUUUAAAAAUUGAAAGAAUAGCGAAGCAAAAAGGGAAAAGAAUGAAGAAGACUUUGAAGCAAAGACCGAAGGUGAUUGAAAUCGGAGUGGAUGGUUGAAGAGAGUGAAACGGUGCGUUGCAGAGUGUGAGUUAGGUUAUUGAAGUCACGUUUGUUUUGCAAUACCUUAACCACGUCGUAUUGGAGGAAAGUGGGUAAUGGAGAUCUUAAGUUUCUUAAGAAUUUCAAUACUUUUAAAUUUAGUUUUCUUGGGAGGAAACGUUUCUCCCAUAUUUCAUAAUCAUUGCUAUUAGUGUUCUCUCAAUGGGUUUCCUAAUACAAAUAUAAAAUAACUACAUUCAUAUUAGAAUCUCUAGUUGGUCGUCAUGCAUCUCUUAAGUAAUUUCUUAUUUUACAUAUUUUUUGGAUCCUAAAAAAUUUCAUUCUCAUAGGACAUAUUUAUUAUUGCAUUUAUUAGUUAUUAUUACACUCUACUUAUUAAUUUGUUAAAUAUAUUAUUCGUUAUAAUGGUCAUUAUAUUAUCAUAUUACAGUAUUAAAAUCAAUCUACUUGUGUUCUUAUGAUUUGCUUUAAAUUCUAAGUUAGUUUUAUUUUGAUGUACAAAUUUUAUUUAAUUUUCUUAUAGAUAAGGGCUCUCAUCUUUGCCUCACAUAAGGCUAGGGAUGGCAAUGGGCAUGAGCGAGCAUGGGUAGUAGCUACCCGCUACCCGUUUUAAAAUAGAAGAGUAAUACUCAUAUCCGCCCAUACCCGUAUGGGUACCCGUGUGCAGAUAUUCGCGGGUAUUUUUGGGUACCUGUGGGUACAAUGGGUACUCGCGGGUUUCCUCUAUUAUAAAUAAAUUUUUACUUCUCUUGUGUUUCAAAUAAGAUGAAACUUAAUUAUUUUUGUACAUUUUGAUUGAAUAUUUGGCAAAAAUGCUAAAUUUAUUGGUGUUUACUAUUUGUGUGAUUUUUUGUUCUCAUUUCUUUAAGAAAAAGUAUAUAUUUUCUUUAAAACAUGUGUAUUUCUACCCAUGUAAUAAUAUUUGUAGGGUGUUUCACCAUCAAACUCAAUAAAAUAUGUAAACAAAGUAAAGGGAUAAAAUAUACAUAGUGUAAUAAAUGUUAGAAUAAUGUAUUUUUGAUUUUAAUUAAAUAUAAUAUAUUAAUCAUAUAAAUAAUGGGUACCCGCGGAUACGGGUACCAUAAUACACGUACCCACCCGUAUGUACUACGGGUAUUUUUAAAAACUCAUUUAUAAUCUCCGUGGGUACCCGUUUGUGACUCGUACCUGUGCCCGUACAGGUUUUAUCCGCGGGUACCCACAGGUACGGAUAUUUUUGCCAUCCCUACACAAGGCCUAGAAAAUCUUAGGACAGACAUUUAAUUAGAAUGUUAAAGUCGAAUAACACAACGAUAGUUUAAUUGUAUAUGGUCAAAGGUUCAUUGAUUCUUAGAAACAAUGUUCUCAAGAGGAAAAGAUAUAUGCACUAAUAAUUUGUAAGAGUUUUUAAAUUGUCUGUGUAUCAUCCAUCAUUCAUAGUUAAUUAUCAUUAACUCUUCAAAAAAUGUAAUACAAAAGAAUGAUAGAUGAUAUACUGAAUGUAUAUAAAUCUUUAUACUGACAAUACGUAGAUAUUACAUUCAAAAUAAAUUACUUUCACCUGUUUGGUUUGAUCGCAUCCAAUAAAAUGGGAGGCUUCUACUAUCUUAAUAAGAAUACAAUGGACUUAUAGUAUCACUGUAAAAGACAUGUUCAAAGCGUGAGGGGGUAUAAUUGUAAUACCAAAUUAAAAUUAAUUACAAAAAAACAAAAAUUUUAUAUUGACUGUAUUUUCUGAAAUGUUACAUUACUUUUUUUAUUGUCUUCAACAUUCAUGAGUCAAUUAUGUCAUUGCACAUUGCUGUUAAAUAAUUUUAUGUUAUUACUUUGAUAUUUAAUUACUAAAUUGAGUUUGAUUUUUUUGCUUUACAAUGCCCAGAUAUUGGGGAUAAUAGUGUCAUUGAUCAUUGUCCACUAUUUGGGCUUUCUAAUUUUUCUAAUUUUUUUUUUUGCAAUUACGAAACUUGACGUAUUGUAUAUACUAUGAUCGACUUGAAUAUGGUGUUAUAAGUUAUAAUUGUAUUUUCGACACCCACAUUAGUUUCACAUCUCUCACGUGUAUUCCACUUUCUCUAUCUGAUUUGUUGAUCUUGUUACCUCAUACCACACUUUUCUAUACCCCUUCAUUUCUUCUUCUUCCAUACACUUCUGCAUUACUACUUCACUCCAACUCUGUCCUUUAGAUAUAUUCAUCAAUUUAAGGUAGCAUUAUUUAUUUAGUGCUCGUGAAAACACGAAGGUCAUGAUCCCCAAAUUGAGGUCCCUACUAAUCUGAAAUCAGUCAUUCACUACUUACUUUGGGUGUCAAAGUAUACAUUUCUUUUAAUUUUCUUUGUUAAAAAUCAGCCUUCUUACUUGUUUUGGGUUUCUAAUGGAAUAUUUUUGUAACUUUUUCAAAAAAGUGGCCCAUUUCAUAUCAUAGGAGGUUUUCUAUCCCCAAAAUUUCUCAUUUUUUCAUGUUGCCAAAAGUCAUCCAUGGGAACUACGGGUUCAUUGACCUUUUGUUGUUUAAAAUGACAUUGAGGUCUCUCCCAAUCUGAAAAUGAGCCGUUCAUUACUUACUUAGAGAGUCAAAGUAUACUUUUUUAAAUUUCUUUGUUAAAAAUCUGGUCUUUCUUACUUUUUCUGAGUUUCCAAUGGAAUAUUUAUGUAAUUGUUUUUUUCUUUGUUAUCCUUACUGAUUCUAUUUUUUGCUGAUUGUUACUACCUUAUAUCUUUCUACUGAGUGGUAAUUAAUUUAUGGUAUAACCACUUUGGAUAUUGGGUGCAUAUUUUUUUUUACUGAUUAGGUCCAGUUGUUGAAUGUUAAUCUUACAUUGGGUCUAAAAUUUGUAAGGUUAACUCUCUACAUGUCCAUCAUUGCUUAGUGUUCAUUUUUUCACAUAAUAAUUUUAAUCCAAGUAAAUAUCACAAUUCAUACCUCAAUUUUAUUUUCUAUUCCAUGUAGUCUAUGUCUAAUAGACAUUGUCACAACUUGAAAUUUAUAUAACUCUCUACAUUUGCUUCCAUUAUUGGUGGUUGUCCAUUGCAUUGUUGGCAUAUAUUAAUGUUUUUACAUUCUAAUUAAAGGAAUCCAUCAUGAAGUUAAAUGGAGAAUAUGUAUUAUUGAAGACUACAAUGAUUUUGUGUGUUUAUUUCCAAGGCAGGCACCAUUCUUAUAUAACAGAUGGUGUUGCUUGGAAAAGAAGAAAACUGAAUUGAAACUAAUUUAACAACUUCUUAACAAACUUAUUGAUGUAUAUUCAACAUGUGCUUAAAGGCAAGAUGCUCCACUACUAAAGCCAAUCCAUAAAGCAGCCUAUGUACAAUCCAUGAAGCCUUUAUUAUGACCUGCAUAAUCUGCAAUAAAUCAGAAAACCAGAAACAAAAGAAAGCCUCAUGAACUAAGGCAUGGGCCAGGAUUAUUAGAUGAUGUAUACAAUAAGAAAUUGCAUACAACGAGCAAUAUGUGUAAUACCCCCUUCAAGAUGGAGAGUGUAUAUUAAUCACUCCCAGCUUGCUUAACAUUUGAUUGAAAAGAAUAGGUUCUAAUGGUUUAGUUAGCACAUCUGCUAUUUGAGCAGAGGUUGAGAUAGGUAAUAGAUGAAGAAGCUUGUUAUGCAAUCUUUCUCGAAUAACAGGGCAGUCAAUCUCAACAUGUUUGGUACGUUCAUGAAAAACAACAUUAGCAGCAAUGUGUCUUGCCGAAUUAUUAUCACAAUAAAGUAAAGCAGGUUGUUUAUAAAGGAAUUGGAAAUCAGUGAGAAGAUAUGUAAGUCACUGAAUUUCACAAGAGGCUAUGGCAAGAGCACGAUACUCUGCCUCUGAGGAUGAUCUAGAAACAGUGUUUUGAUUCUUGGAUUUCCAUGAAAUAAGAGAGUCUCCUAGAAACAUAGAAUAGCCUGAAAUAGAUUUCCUAGUGUCGGGGUAAGUGGCCCAAUCUGAGUCAGAGAAACCUUUGAUUUCGAUGAUGGAUGUGGUAGGAUAGAGAAAGCCUUGUCCAGGUGCUCCUUUUAUGUAUCUAAGAACACGAGUCAUGGCUUUGUGAUGCAUGACAAUAGGAUUAGCCAUGAAUUGGGUGAGUUGUUGCACUGCGAAGGUGAUAUCAGGACGGGUAUUAGUUAAAUAGAGUAAUCUUCCUACAAGUUGCCUAUAGGAGACAAGGUCAUGGUAAGGUUCACUGUCAUGUUGGUGUAUGUGAAUGGUUAACCAUUAGUGUGGGGACAGGCUUGGAGGUGAGGAAGCCAGUAUCGUGAAGUAAGUCUAAGGUGUAUUUUCUUUGGCAUAAUGUAAUGCCAAGCUUGGAACGGGCUACUUCAAGACCAAGAAAGUAUUUCAAGUUCCCUAAGUCUUUGAUUUUGAGUUGAGUGUUAAGGUGGUCUUUGACAUAUUGGAUUUCAUUGAUGUUGUUUCCUACCAGGAUGAGAACAUCAACAUAGAUCAAUAGGGCAGUGAAGUGAUGGUUGUUUGUCUUUGUAAAAAAUGAGUGGUCUUGUUGGGAUUGCUUGUAUCCCAAGGAAAUGAGAGAAAAAGAUAAUUUGGAAAACCAUUGCCUACUAGCUUGUUUCAAACCAUAAAGGGAUUUUUUUAAUUGACAAACCUGAUUUGUUUUAGAACUAUGCACACCAAGGGGUAGGGUCAUGUAUACCACCUCAUCAAGAUCUUCAUGGAGGAAGGCAUUAUUGACAUCAAGUUGAUGCAAUGUCCAACCUUGUAUUGCAGCUAGAGCUAAGAGAAGCCUAAUGGUAGUUAGCUUAAUAACAGGGGCAAAGGUCUCAUUGUAGUCUAAUCCUUCGGUUUGGUUGUUUCCCUUUGCAACAAGGCGUGCCUUGUGUCUUUCAAUACUGCCAUCUACGUUAUAUUUGAUUUUAUAAACCCAUUUACAUCCUAUGACUCUUUUGUUGGGUGGAAGAGUAGUGAGGGUCCAAGUGUCAUUGAGGUGUAAGGCAUCCAAUUCAUUGUUCAUGGCUUUGAUCCAAUUAGCAGACUUUAUAGCUUGAUUGUAUGUUUUAGGCUCGGUAUGAGAGGUGAUGGAUAAGGUGUAAUGUAGCUGGUGAUUGGAUAAAGUGUUAUAAGACAAAAUAUGAUCAAGGGGGUGUUUAAUGUUCUUAUGUUUGGUUGUGGAUGUAGAGCUCAGGUAGUUGCAAUGGUAGUCUUGGAGGUACCCAGGUGGAUGAGAUGGUCUAAGGGAUCUUCUAGUGUGUAUCUCAACAUCAUUAUGGAUAGGUGAGGAUGGUGGAACAGGUAUUUGGUUGGAGAGAUCAAUGGUAUUGUGAGGCAAACUUGUAUGAGUAAUAGAGGUAUCAUCAUGUAGCGGAAGGUUAUGUGAUGGUGUGGUAGGCAAAGGGAGGAUACCAUCAGUGGUAGUAGAAUUAGGAUUAUGGGAAGGUUGGGUGACUUGGUAAGGGAAAACAUGCUCAUAGAAGGUGACAUUUCGAGAUAGGAAAAGGUUCCUGAUGUGCAAUUUGUAUAAAAGGUAACCUUUAAUGCCAGUUACAUGACCAAGGAGGAGACAUUUAGUAGCUCUAGGAUCAAGUUUGGUCCUAUUAUGUGUGAGUGUAGAAGCAUAUGCAAGGCAUCUAAACACACGAAGGUAGGUGAGAUCAGGUUGCUUGUGAAAUAAAGUUUCAUAACGGGAUUUAGAGUUGAGCACAAGGGUAGGUAAUCUAUUGAUUAGAUGGACAAAGUGCAGAACAACAUAGCCCCAAAGACCUUGGGCAUAUAGGAUUAGAAAAAGAAAGAACGAGUGGUGUUUAAGAUGUGUCUGUCCUUUCUCUCAACCACAGAGUUUUGUUGUGGUGUCUCAGUACAAGAUUUUUGAUAGAUAACCCCAAGUUGGGCAUAGAAAUCAGGCUAAAUAAAUUCCAAGCCAUUGUCAGAUCUAAUAGCCUUAAUCUUCUUGUUAUGUUGGGUGUUAGCUAGUUGGAAAAAGGUGCUAAUUAGUUUCCUUGUCUCAGACUUGUUGGUCAUAAGGUAGACCCGAGUAUACCUACUGAAGUCAUCCACAAUGGUAAAGAAUUACUUAUGGCCAUGGAUAGUAGGUGUGCUAAGGGGACCCCAAAUGUCCAUGUGUAUAAGGUCAUAUGGUUCAAUGCUGAAAGAAGAGCUCUUUGUGUAUGGUAAUCUUGACUGUUUAGCAGUAUGGCAAGUAUCACAAACAAUCUUAGAAUCAUAGUUUACAAAUGGAAAUUGUUUAUUUAUACUUUGUAAAACAAAUAGAGAGGGGUGGCCUAAUCUAUGAUGUCAAACAUCGAAAACAAGAUCAUUGUUUUUGUUUAUGGAUCCAAUUACAUGUAAAGAUUUGUCAACAAUUCUAUGAUCUCUACUAAGAAUGUAUAGACUGUUAUAUGCUUCAACAUAGCCAAUCAUCUUCAAGGAAGUCGUAUCCUGAAUCAAACAAAAUUCCUUAUCAAAGAUAAGCUUACAUUUUAAGGAGCAUGCUAGCUUGUUAGUAGAAACUAAGUUGUAUUUGAAACUAGGCAUAUACAACACAUUAUGCAGGAUAAGAGUAUGAGUUAAAUGAAUAGUUCCUGAAUGUUUUGCUAUCAUAGUAACAUUGUUUGGAAAUUUAACAUGUAUGGGCCUAAUGCAACUAACAUUUGUAAAGUUUGAUGCAUCAUUUGUAACGUGAUCAGUGGCACCACUAUCUAAAAUCCAUGCUUUAUUGUUAAGAAUUGUACCUGAUAUUUCAGAGUGUUCUUCAUUGAGGUAAUCUUGGCUCACUUGGUUAAUGUUGUGUUCAAGGCUGCUUAUUUGUAAAGGUUGGUCUGCUUGUGUGUUAGUUGUAUCUCUAUUCUUUGUUUCUUGCCCUUUACCAUGAUCAACAUGAAUAUUAUUAACAGAACCAUUAUCUUGCUUGGCCUUGAACUUGAAAUUGGGAGGAAAGCCAUGUUUGAAGUAGCUUGUCUCUGUAAUGUGUUUCUCUUUUCCACAAAAGUACAUACUUUGUUAUUGCUACCUGAUCUAGAUGCCUUGGCAUAGUUUCUUGUCCAUGCAUUCCCUUAAUAUUUCUUUCUAUUGCUAAAAUCAUUGUUUUCUCCUUUGCCAGAAUUCCUAUUGGGUUGAUUCCUCCAAGGUUAGGUAGAGUUUAUGGAAUUUACCACUUUCUUGUUGUCAUAUUCUAGUCCCUCAUAUUGUCUUUCUUGCUGCAAGACAAGUGAGAAGACCUUGUUCAUUGAUGGCAAUGGUUUCAUAAGGAGGAUUUGGGCCUUUAUUGUGUCAAAUUGUUCUCCAAGACCCUUGAGAUGUAGUUCCUCAUGAUCCUAGGCAUAUUGCAGCUACACCUCACAGGACAGGUACAUACAGGUAAGGGUCUCAAAGACUCCAAUUCAUCCCAUACUGUCUUCAUAUCUGUGUGGAAAGCAGAAAUGUCUCUAUCACCUUGCUUCAUUGAGUGAAUUUAUUGAAGGAGAUAUGAUGUCCUAAAGUGAUCUCCUUUUGAGAAACGUUCCUUGAGAUCUUCCCAUAGUUCUUGUGCACUUUCUAUGUACACAAUACUCUGGGCAAUUUGUUGUGUUAAUGACCUUGUGAUCCAAGAGAUUAUCAUGUUGUUAUAUCUCUCCCAAGAAUCAUACAUUGGAUCUGAUGGAUGUGGAACUUCUACUGCUCCAUUGAUGAACUUGAAUUUGUUCUUCGACUUGAGUGCCCUUCUCGUGGCUCUUGACCAUGAUUCAUAAUUUCUUCCAUCCAGAGGUUGUUGAUACCAAAGUGAAUCCUGGAUUCUCCCCAUGGUGUAGAUAAUAAGGGUUCUGUAUUGCAUCAAUAUUCUGGUAUGCCUGUUGUGUUUGAUCUGAUUCAGCUUCCAUGGCUUUGAUCCAAGUUUUGUGUAAAAAGAUCUGAGAGGAUUUGGAAAGAUUAGGAAAGGGUGUGAAAGAGAUGUAGAGGACGGCCUUAGUAGCAGAGCUCUCACUUGGAGAGCUCUGAUACCAUACAGGAAUCCAUCAUGAAGUUAAAUGGAGAAUAUGUAUUAUUGAAGACUACAAUGAUUUUGUGUGUUUAUUUCCAAGGCAGGCACCAUUCUUAUAUAACAGAUGGUGUUGCUUGGAAAAGAAGAAAACUGAAUUGAAACUAAUUUAACAACUUUUUAACAAACUUAUUGAUGCAUAUUCAACAUGUGCUUAAAGGCAAGAUGCUCCACAACUAAAGCCAAUCCAUAAAGCAACCUAAGUACAAUCCAUGAAGCCUUUAUUAUGACCUGCAUAAUCUACAAUAAACCAGAAAACCAGAAACAAAAGAAAGCCUCAUGAACUAAGCCAUGGGUCACGAUUAUUAGAUGAUGCAUACAAUGAGCAAUUGCAUACAACGAGCAAUAUGUUUAAUACUAAUAUCUAUUAUUUUUUCUGUGUGCUAAAUUGUCCAUUUAGUAAUGGUUGAUUCUUUGCAGUCUAUGUUUAAUAGAUAUCCUCAAUUACUGAUUCUUGAUUUACCAGACAAUAUAUAACUCUAUAUCAUUGCCUUCUCUUAACUAAAUUGUUGAAUGAACAAUUUUUAAAUGGUUUUUAGUUGUUGCUACAGUAUCAUAUUUACUAUGACAUGCUAUUACUAAAUUAGGUUUGGGCAUUAGGCUGUACAAUUCUUACAUAUUGGGCAUAUUAGCGCUAUUGAACACUGUCCAUUGUUUGAUCUAUAUAUUUUUUUGCAAAUGAGUUUCUAUACUAAACUAGUCAUAUUGUAUACACUAUGAUCGAUUUCAAUUUAGGGUUAUAAAUAUCUUUUCUCUACCCAUUUUACCUAUAUGUUUCUCACGUGUAUUCCACUUUCUCUAUCUCAUGUGUUGAAAGUUGUACUUUAUUUCCCACUUUCUAUAUAAUUUUAAUAACUAUUUGAUUAUUACACUCUUGAAUAUCCUCAUGAUGGAUAAAGUUGAAUCUUAUGUUGAGAGUGAUAUUUUCAAUAAUAACAAGGUCUGUGUAAUAUAUGAUAGCCUACUUAUUAGCUCACCUCCGGGAAAAAUGGCGUUAAUAUUUUUUUAUCUUACUACAAUACCCUUCUUUCAUUAACUUAUGGUUAUAUAUGUUUGAGUAAAUUACACUAACUCACUCUGAUUUUUAGUGAAAUUACACAAAUCACCCAUCAACUUUUUAUACCUACAAAAAACCAUAUGAUAUUUAUACAUACAUUACGCUGAUCACCCCUACAUGAUAAAUAAGUGUGAUUUUUUAAACAAAAAAAGACGAUAAGUAUAAUUAAGUUAAAUAAAAUAUGAUAUAUUAUGGAGACAAGUCCAAAUAGUAUAUGAGCCAAUAGUACAAUAUGCAUCAAUAAUUCUAAGGAUAUAUUGUUUAAAUCACUCUUAUAUUAUAUUGUAACGAACAAAAGAUAAUGAAAAUAUAUUGACUCGUAUACUAUUUGUAUUUGUUUCCACAAUAUAUUGUAUUUCGUUUAACUUAAUUACACUUAUCAUCCUUUUUGUUUAAAAAAUCAUACUUAUUUUUCAUAGAGGGGGUAGUUAGUGUAAUAUAUGCAUAAAAAUUAGGGGGGGGGGAGAUUAUAGGUGUAAAAAUGGAGGGGUGGUUUGUGUAAUUUCACUAAAACUCAGGGUGUGUCAGUGUAAUUUACUCUAUAUGUUUUACUAAAAUAUUGCAUUUUUUAUAUCUUAAACUUUUUUUCAUGGUGGCUUAAUGUUUUCAUAAAUUAUUCUUUGUUGUGUUAAUGUCAAUAUCACACCCAUUCGAGAUGAUAAAUGAUUUGAAUGAUUCAAAACACAUGUGAAAGAUUGUUGUUAGAAUUAUAGAAAAUUGGUGUAUGCAACUUCCACCCAAACCUGGAUAUCUGGAAAUAAUAUUGAUGGACUGUAUAGUAAUAACAUAUCCUAUAACAUUUUAAUAUGUUUGAUAAAUUACUAAAGUUCAAUUGUUUUAAUUAAUUUAAGGAGGCAAGAUCCAAGUCUCUCUUAAAAAUGAAGAGUUAAAUCUAUGGACAGAACUGAAAAUAACACAUAUGUCAUGCACAAUUUCAAUGUGAUGCACAAUGAUCUCCAAAUUAUGGCAAGAAAUCAUACCUACAAAAUGCAUUUUACUACUUAUGGUACAAGUCUAAAAGAUAUAUGAUUUCUCAAUAUCACUAUUUGAAUAUGAUUUUAAAAAGUUUGGUGAGAUACUUGUUGGAAACUUUCGAAGUGAUUUUUUAGUAGGUUAGUUUUUUCUUAAAAUGAUAUAUAUUUUCAUUUUAUUCAUUUUAUUAAAUUUCUACUAUAUCAAAAAUUUAUUUUUAUUAUCUUAAUAGAGAUUAUUGGAGUUAUUUGUUGGGUCCCAUAAGACUCUAUCACUCACCUAGAGGGGGUGAAUAAGUGAUAUGGUACACGAUUACCGUUGCUUGAUAAACAAACAACAAACACAAAAUUAUACAUUGUUUAAUUGAUUAAACACAACUAUAAUCGAUUAACUCAUUUUGAUGUUAAUCGAUUAACUAAACACCUUAAUCAAUUAUUUAGUUCUUGUUCAAUGAAAACAGUUUUUUCUGAUCUCCAAGAUUACCAAAAUUCAACUAAACUUAUAUGCACUUAUUAUAGAAGAUUAAGCACAAUAAAUGCACAAUACAAAAUAUCCAAUUAAUACAAAAUUAUAUGCAUGUCAAGUUAAGUAAAUCAAGUAAUGUGGAAAUGUAAAAGAUAAGGAAAAAGAAGAAUGAGACACGGCUUUUAUCCUGGUUCGUUUGCAGGUCCACUUGCAAACUACAUUCAGGCAUCCGCUUAUGAUAUUGGGAGUUUUUCCUUCAUUAUGGAAUCUUUAAUGUACUUUUACAAACAAGCUUCCAAUACAAGAUGCAAGACGCUACUUUCUUGAUCUCUAUGAACUUGACAACCUCGGUUUGACCUCUCUCUCGUCUACUAAGAUCUCCUAUCUUUUCACGAUUAAGCCUCAGUCAGGUAUCACUCAAUACCAAGACCUCUUGCUUUUCGUGAGGACACAUCUAACAACAACUAGGAAUUUUCCCAAACCUAUUCUCUAUCAAUAGCAAUAACAAUCACACCAAGAGAAUAUAUUGUUGCCUUGUCUAACAAUUCUUUCAAGUUAUGUGUACACAUCAAUAUGUAGAUUUAACCACUCUUCUUAGAAUCUAAGAACCCUUCUAAAAGAUCUCAUAAUUAUAGAACAGAACGUGAGAUGUAAGGUUUCUUUAACAAAAGAUUCGACAAUUAAGCUCAAUGGGUAUCUUAUAAAGAUUCACCCUUUUCUUUUUCUCAAAAUAAUACUUUGAAAAUCUCUCUAAAGAUAUGAAAUUUAGAGCUUAAGAUUUUCUGAACAAAAUGUGUAAUCUGUUUAUUUCGAAUAUGUGUUCUAACUCUAUGAAUCAAUGUUCACCUCAAUAAUGAAGCAAUAUGAAAAACUUGGGUUAAUAUACCACUAUAUUUUAAGCUGAAAUUAAUCGAUUAUACCUUAAACUUAAUCGAUUAACGAGUUCUUGAAAACACCAUACAAAAACAAUAGUAACAACCCUUAAUUGAUUAAACCCUAACUUAAUCGAUUAAUGAGUUCCCAAUAAAUUAAUAUUUAACCGAUUAAAAUAUUUCCUAAUCAAUUAAUAUUUUUCUAACAAAAUAUUUCAAUGAUGAAUGAACCUCAUGUAUGAUUUAUAAAAGUAUGAUGCAUGCCUUUGAAAGACGUAUGAUUUAAAAACUCUUUUUAAAUGCAUUCAAAAACAUAUGAUCAUGUAUGCAUGCAUGUGCAUGGAAAUCAUGUAUGUAUGCAUGUAAGUCUCAUUUUCAUUAUGAUUGAUUUUAGCUUGUGAGACUUUCAUUGAGGUUAAUCCUAGCCUAGACUCUUUCUAAGCAAACAUCUUAAGACCAAAUAGAGAUAUAAAAUACUUAGACUCUAGAUCUUCUUUUGAAUGUUUUGCCAUGUAUGAACUUGAAUCUUGACUUUAUUUGAUACUUGUUGAAAGUUGAUUUGCUCAUCCCUUCAAGCUUGUCCUUGAUCAUUAAUCAUGUUGUUGAUCUUUGUCUAUAUUAAACUUUGUCUUCUUUUGUCUUCAUCAACCUUUUGUCUUCAUCAAAAUAUAUGUGAUGCAUGCUUGCAUACACACUCUUGUUCAUUCAUGCAUGCUUGCAUCUUCAUUAUCCCCUUUUGAUGAUGACAAACACUUGUUGACACUUGUUCACAACUUGUUGGAUCUGACAAUUCUUUGUGGGAUCUGCUUGAUGACAAUCAACUAUAUUUUGCGAUGUUCUUGUAAUUUGAUUGAUAAGUGCAAAAAAUAUACACUUUUCACCAUCAUUUUAUGGCACUUAUCCUAUGCAAAUUGUAGAAAACCAACUUAAAUUAACACUUUUUAGGUGAAUUUUGCAUGAUUAAAUAAAUUAGUUCUUUAUUAGUUCUUGUCCAAGUUUUCUUUGAGUUUUGUUGGAAAUUGAAUGUUAAAUAAUAAAUUCAAAUAUGGACAAGAGUUCAAGCCAAAAUUCAAGACAAAAGCUCAAAAUGAAUUGCUAAAAGUAAUCAAGUNNNNNNNNNNNNNNNNNNNNNNNNNNNNNNNNNNNNNNNNNNNNNNNNNNNNNNNNNNNNNNNNNNNNNNNNNNNNNNNNNNNNNNNNNNNNNNNNNNNNAUUUUGCAUGAUUGAAUAAAUUAGUUCUUUAUUAAUUCUUGUCCAAGUUUUCUUUGAGUUUUGUAGGAAAUUGAAUAUUAAAGUAUAAAUUCAAAGAUGGACAAGAAUUCAAGCCAAAAUUUAAGACAAGAGCUCAAAAUGAAUUGCUAAAAGUAAUCAAGAUUAAAGCAUGGCAUGCUAUGUGCUUAAUUUGGUUACUUAGCCUUGAAGAAAGGUAGCUUACUUCGUCUUGAAGAAACCUAAGUUAAGGUAGGCCAAGCAACUUGCAAAAAUCAAAUACUUACCUUAACUUAAAGAAAACAGCCCAAAAGUGCCAAGCGACCAACAAAAAUCAAGUAACAAAACAAAGGAAAAAAGGUUGCUUCACCAUGAAGAAAUCAAGCACAAAGCUGUCCAGCCAAACCAAGCCCCACUGAGCUGACCUGGACACCACCCUGACUUGGACACCAGCUUGACCUGGACCAAGCUGCUGAGCAGACCUGCUUGGCCGCUCAGCCUAGGACCAGCCUAGUCCUAGCACGGUCAGACCUCAUCGAAGAACCAACCAAGCAACUUAGCGGAGAACCAAACUCCUGAACAGAUCAGCAAGCACCAAGCCACGUCCUAGUCAGCACGGUCAAAGCUGUUGAACAAGCAGCUUAGCGGUGAAACAUGUGUGUGGAGCGGUGCGCACCCAGACUUGACUUAACCAUCAAGCAAACCAUGAAGUCACCCAUGACCUCACCUCAAGUAGCCCACCAUAGGUCACCUCAAGUAGCCCACCAUAGGCUUUUCAGAAGUAUCUCACAAUAGUUGGUUUCAUAGCUCACAACUAGCUUUGAUGAGUCAAGCAUAAGGAGGUGACUAAGCUACUUGAUCAAGGGACCAAACCCAUGCUGAAGGGUUUGGUCAGUUGCUUAGCGGUCCAGCCAAGUAGCUCAGAGGUCCAUAAAGAAAGUUUAUAAAUAGAGACCAAUUGAUUCAAGCAAAAAAAAGCAUUUACACUUGAAAUUAACAAGUCUCUCACUAGAAACUCUUUCUGAAGUUCUCUCUUCAUUUCUUAGUUUUUAGAGCUUUAUUUCAAAGUAAGUUUGUAAUUUUAGUUUAGAAUUCAAGAGGAGAAAAGGAGAAGGCAAAUGAGAUGCAAAAAUCAAUUUUGUACUCUCAUUUGGAACNNNNNNNNNNNNNNNNNNNNNNNNNNNNNNNNNNNNNNNNNNNNNNNNNNNNNNNNNNNNNNNNNNNNNNNNNNNNNNNNNNNNNNNNNNNNNNNNNNNNGAAAAUACCUUUUAAUAUACAAAAGUGAUGAAACUAACUUACUAACUUUUAUUUAUUGUUAUUUACUUUCCGCAAUUUAUUUAUUCUUUAAUACAAACCUUCAUUAAGGAAGAAGUUUGGUUUGUUAAUAAAAUGAACCCGGAAGGGAGUAAAUAAAUAAAAGGUCACUUAAAUUUAUUAUUCUUUUGUUCUUUAAUUAUUUAUUUGUUUCUAACAACUAACUAUUCAUCACUUUUGUACAUUAGAAUACCAUUAAACCGAUGUUGGAAUUUAUUCCAAAAAACCGAGAUGAUAUUCAAAGGUACUUAAUAAUUAUGUAAUAAGGGGUUGCUUCGAUACCAUUGUACCGGCGUUAGAAUUUAUUCUAACAAAGCCGAGAUGGGUCAAAGAAGGAAUAACUCAUUCACAUGAUUAUUAAGAAGUAAGUUGUAACUGGAAUAUUCUUGAAACCAUUAUACCGGCGUUGGAAUUUAUUUCAACAAAGCCGAGAUGGCGACCAAAGAUUAAAACUGAGUUCUCUUACUUAAUCAAAUAAAAAGAACACCACGAAAAAAGAGAGCAAUAACCCUUUCAACAAAUUGGCACCUCGCUAAGGAACAAUCUAUUGAGAAGGGAAACAACCUCUCGAAAUUAUCUUUCAACAUUGAUGCACAUUUCUCUCUCUUGCUCCCCUUCAAUUUGAGCAUCAGGUGAUUUAUCAUUAUCUUUGUUGAAGCCUCUCAACUUUUCUACUCUUGCAAGUCCUACAAAAUAUAAACAACAACUUUUCUCCCCCUUUUGGCCUGAUCAAAAAGCAAAGUAAUAUAUGAAAGUAUAUUGCCAAACGAAAGGAAAAUCAAUGCAAAUUCUAUUGCUGCUAAUCGAUUAAAAUAGUACUUAAUCGAUUAUGUAUUAUUCAAUUUUACACAAAAUUUCAUUUUAUGAUGGUUAAUCGAUUAUGGCCUGUUGUUAAUUGAUUAAACCUACUAUUAUGACAGAAUACAAUGCAGGCCACAUGCUAUAUGCAGAAAGUUAUUUAAUUUGAUAUCUUUGGUUUCAUACACUUAUUUAUAUCAAUUAUGUAAACGGUAUGAAGACAUUUGUUUAUGAUACCACUUGUUGGUACCAUUUUUUCAUCUAUACCAAUUGUUAUACCACUUGUUUUAUAUCACUUGUUGGUUGAAAUGAUUACAAAAGUGAUAUAAAUGUACAUAAGUCAAUUUGAAAAGCAUAAAACCAAUAUAUUCAUAGCAUGUCAUGUGAUUACAAUUCAAGUCAAAGCAGAAAAACAAAGUAACAAGUUUGGAAAUACAAGGCAAUAACCAAAAACAAACUUAAAGACCACAUACUCCUAAAACAACACCUAACUAGGACACACUAGACAUCCUAAGCUAGCUAGGAGGCGUUUGCGGAAAUCCACCAAAGGUCUUGAGUAAGAAGUGAAAUUGCUCAAAACGAUUAUGAUUCUCUUCAUCUUGUCUACGAAACUCUGUCAUGAGCCUAUCUUCCAUAGAUUGCAUCUUUGAGUCAAUUCGCUCAUUUAGGCAUUGUUCCAUGAAAUCCAGAUGAGCCAAACCAAAUGAAGGUCCUUGAGGCAUAUCAGACACCCCACCAUUUUGGUGCUCCUGAUUCUGCUCACCUCGCUCACCACCUUCUUCUUCCUUAGACAUUUCCAAAUUCACAAUGGUCCUAUAGUCCUCUUGAUACAUUCAUUCACCACCAUAUUUAUAAAUUCUCAUAUUGUGAAUGAGAUUCUCAUGGACCAUGUGCUCUCUGGGAUUUACGACGAUUAUCUCCACACUAAUUGUGUCGAUCCCUAUAUGAUCAAUGACACGGAAGAUAAAGAUCCCACAUGCCAGCAGUCUCGAUGAAGAUGAUGCGAUGCCAUAAAUCACUUUCAGAAUCUCGUCGGGCCAACUUAUCAGAAUUCCUUCCUUAACAACAAAUAUAAGCUUCAGAUCAUUCGCAGUUGGUUGCACAUGAUUUGUGUUGUGCUGAACCAUAAUGUAUGAUAUCAUGUAGUGUAAUAGCCUAUUUUCUAUGGUUAAAGACCCAUCUUUUGUAAGAUCACAUUAGACAAAGUGGCAAGGUCCCCUCAAGCAUGACUUGUACAUCUCUUUAGAGUCAUACGCGCUCCAUUCAUCAUCAUUACAAUCUCCGAGGGAACCACCAUCACAUGCUAAGCCACCAACAUCCAUGAACAACACAUUAUUCAAUAAAAUCUGCUUCCCUUGUACCAUACUCCUAUAUCCACCAUCUUUAUACUGAAUAUUUGCAUAGAAUUCCCAAACUAGAGAGAGGUAAAUACUGCCAUUUAAUUCUAGAAAUUUUAUGACACCUUGUGCCUCCAAUUCAUAAUGGAAUUGAAAUCCCUGCUCCACCAUCCACGCCAUGUUGGCAUAUCGGAUGUAUGUUGGUUUCUGGCUUACGAACCUAGCCAAUCUUUCUGAUUGAAGAAUAGGAGCAUAAUAUGGGUCUAAACCCAGUGAUGGAUUCUACCUAGAUGAAGAAGACCCAUCAACAUUGAGAUUUCUCGCACGUCCAUGAUGACGUAGAGAACGGUUUGAUCCAACUAUAUGUUUUACACUUUUUGGUCUCUCAUUACUCAUUGGUGCAGAAAUAUAGGAUGGAUAAUCGAUUAAGAAGAAAUUCAAAGUUAGGUUUAGAAAUGGUGUAAGCUUAGGUUAUACAAUUUCAACCAAAUUGAUGGGUUAGACGAUUAGAGGAGGAAAGAAUAAGAGAUUGGGUAGCUCUAAUCUAAGUUUGAGGAUGAAUUACAGGACCAAUUUAGGUCAAAAAGAUAGAAUUCACGAGGUUAGGGUUAGAAAGAACAUAACCCAUAACUAUAUUUGAAUCUGUUUUAUGACUGCACUUAAUCGAUUAACCUUUGUGUUAAUCGAUUAACGGGAUUCAAAUUUUAACACAGUUAAUCCAUUAUGUUCCAUCUUAAUCGAUUAAAAUUUUAAAACAUUUUUUUAGCCGAGGUAAUUGAUUAAGGGAACAAAUAAUCGAUUAAGACAUAUAGAAAAAGUCCAGGUAAUCGAUUAAAACACAGAACAAUCAAUUAAACAAGUCACAAAAACAACUUUUGACACAAUUUUGAAUUAGUUUAGAGGUUUGCUAAGACUCUAAGAUAAAGAUCUGUCCUAAACACGUAAUGUACACUUAACACAGAGCCAAAAGAGCAUGAUAGCAUAUUCAAUCAAAAAUGAAUUAUACAAUUAAGAAUACAUGCAUAUAUUGGCGACAAGUGGGCUUAUUUAGGAUUAUGUAGAUGUCUAGCAUGCAUUCAAACACUUAGGCAUAAUAUAUCAGACAAAACAUGUGAUUAGACAUUUUAGUGCAAGACAUGUUACGAUAUUUGGUUACCUCACAUGCUUUACCUCAUCUUUAUCAAGAUGUUAGAAUUUUGCAUAUUGAUGCCUUCUUUGGCCUUUAUUCAAUUCUUGAUUCUUGCCUUUUUCUUGCAUAGCAUAUCAAAUCCUUAAUGAUUAGCCUCAUGAGUACCAACAAAAAUAGUAAGCAUACCUUUCAUCUCCUCUUUUGGAGAUGGCUUAAUCAAGCAUUAAAUUUGCAUAGGCUUUUCCAAGAAUAGUUUUGGUCAAUUGCAUUAAUAUGAGAUUUAACUUGUUGGGCUUCAACAUGAUUAGAAAAUCGUAGAUAGUAUUUCUAUAUUUACUUAUUAAUCAAAACAUGGUUAAACGAUUCUUAUACUUGUUCAAUGAUAUCAUGUUUGCAUUUGAGAGCAUGUAAAUGAGAAACACAAAGCAUUAGGCCUAAAAGUGAUUUAUGGGGGAUUUCCUGAUUCUUGAUUUUAUGGCCUUGCUAGGAUUUCAUUAUAGAAUAUAUUUAUGACAUUUCAAGUAUGUAAUACUUAGAAUUUGGAAAGUAUACCUUAUUUUACCUUUGUAGCACAAUACUUCCUAGCUUCAAUCAUUUGAAUUGACAUUUUGCUCAUAAGUUUCAUGAUCCAUUUUCCUUUGGUGACAAGUCAAAGAAAUUUGAUCUUCUCACCUUCUAUGUGCCUAGAACACUUGCUGCCCCUAUAAAAUUUGAAGUCCAUAUGUCCUUUGCCACACCUACAAAACAUGAUUACUUACAUUUCUUGGGUACCCAACUAAUCUUGGGUCCCUUGUUGUCAGAAGUUUGGGGAUUUUGAUUCUUAGUAAUCCACAUAUAAUUUCCAUUUGGAAUAUCGUGCAUUCUAAUAUUACAUGCAUUCAAGGUGUGACCAUGCAAUCCACACUAAAAGCAAGUAAGGAAUUCAAGAUAUGACAUUUUCAGAACAUCUACUCGUUUCUUGUGAAAUGUGUUAUUUGCAUGCAUAUAUCCGAAACUAGGUUUAAUUCCAACAAUUUUACAUGUAGAAAGAAAGUAAGUUGUUUGAUUUGUGAUUACUAGAUAUAAAAUUAGCAAUUUUAUCCUUUAAGACAUUAUUUUCAUGUUCCAUGUAAGUGCAAUUUUCACAAGUUGAUAUCACAUUUAAUUAGAAGUACAAUUACAUGAGUGUUGAAAGAGUUAUUGUUGCUGGUUAUUGAGGCAAGUUUCUGAUUUCUUUAUUUAAUGACAGGUCGAUUCUUUGCUCGCCAUCUAGGCUUUGGUAAAAUAAAUUCCAACAUCCGUAUAAUGGUUUCAAGAAUAUUCCUAUAAUAAAAAACUUAACUUUAUUGAAUUAUUAACAAUUUUAAACCAUCUCGACUUUGUUGGAUUAAUUCCAACUUCACUAUAAUGGUAUGAGUUUAGCAAAUUAACACAAGUGAUAAUGAGUGAUAUUUAUUUUCGUUUUCAUUUAUUAACUGGACUACUUCCUUAUGGGAGGUUGGUAAAGAAUAAAUUAAUAAAGUAAUAAAUAAAUGUUAGUUGCAGAAUUUAAAUGACAGAAAAUAAAUGUUAGUUGUGGAAAUGUAAAUGACUAAAAAUAAAAGUUAGUAGUUAGAUCAUUCAUUAUAAUUGAGUAUUUUUUAUUUUCAAAAAGAUAUAAUUUAUGAAUUAAAUUGCACUUUGAUUCAAUGUUUCUUUUUCUUGUCAACAAAUAAAAUUUAGAAGUUAAUAAUUUAUUAUUUUACAUUUGCAUAUCUUUCAAGAUUCAAUUGUAGUAUAGUAUACGGUUAUAUCGAACCACAAGGAAUUACGUAAUAGAAAUGUACUCAUACUUUGUAUCUUUUAUCAAAAGUAAUAAAGUAACAAUUACAGUUGUUUUUGUGAUUUUAUGAACUAAGAAACAUGAAAAAUUAAAGAACUAACUAUUUACAAAUUCAAGAAGGAAAAAUUGAUUUGAAAGAUUGAAUUAUUUCUUGACUCAAAUAAUUUUGGAAACAUUACAAGUUAUGUGUUAUACUUUCGGUUAAUUCCACACACCAUUUCUAAAUCCUUCAUCUAGUGUCCUAGAAUGAUAAGAUGAUUUUCAAACCUUAUGUAAUACACUAAACAAUAGUUAAGCGCCACUGGCAGAGUAGGUUGUCACAUCCUACUUCAGGAUCCAUUAACAUCAUUUAGCCUUGAAUAUAAGUUGCUUAAAAUAGAUGUUUGAUAUGGCAAGUGAACUAAGGUGUAGGUUAUACUUUUUAGUUCACUUGUCAAAACUUUAAGAAGAAGCAUUUUGGAUCUUUAAAUCAAUUUUUAGGUGAUCAAGUGAAAACCGCAUUAAGAACUUCAUAAAGAAUCAAAACUUAACAAAAAAGUAAUAACUUGAAUGCAUUGAUUUCAAAGGAUAAAUUAAAGAUAAGAAAUUACACCAUAAUCCAAGUGAAUUUGUAGGAGAAUGAGCCAUCUAUCCAAGGAUGAGAUGUUUUUCAAUCUCCUUACCCAAAAAAAAAAUCAACAAAAGAUGUCAAAAAUAAACUCCAUUCCCUUUGAAUUUCUAUGAGCUAAAAGCAUAAAAACAGCCUAAGAACACUCUCAAAUGAGAGAGAACCAAAAAUGAGAAGAAAAAUAGUAUGUAUAAUGAUUUAAAAGUGAAGAAAUGGGUGUUCCUUUUAUAGGCAAUAGGGGGGCUUAGCCCUCCUUCCUGUCUGCUUAGUUCACUGGUGGGUCAACAACUUGUCCCAUAUUGGCCAGCUAGCUUGGACAGCCUAUUUUGGGCUAGGCUGCAUGCAUGGUGACACCUCAUACUUGCUUGUGUCAUGUAUGAGGUCAUAAACUUGGCUCAGAAGCUAGCUUUUGCUGGUUGUUUGGCUUGUGACAUCAUUCCUGACAUAACCAUUCUUUUAGGCCAAGCAACCAUUUUUCUGGUGGGUCAAGUGCUAGGCUGACCUGGUUCCACGCUCAGCUGCCUGCUUGAACAACAUGGCUGACCAAGUGCACGCUCAGCUGUCUGCUUGAGCAGCCUGACUGACCUGGCCUAGUGCUUGGUGCUUGGCAGACCUAGCCUAGUGCUUCGUGCUUGGUGCUUGGUUGACCUGGCCUGAUGCUUGGAUGACAUGGCCUGGUGCUUGGCUGACCUGGCCUUGUGCUUGGCUAACCUGGCCUGGUGCUUGGCUGACCUGGCCUAGUGCUUGGUUGUCUGGUCUAACCUAGCCUGGUGCUUGGUGCUUGGUUGGGCAACUUUGUGCUUGGAUGGACAACUUUGUGAGCAACUUUUAUUUGGCUUUAAUUUCUUCCAACUUUUAAGAAAACACCUUACAAUGUUUAGUUUUAAGCACAUAUGUGUCAUGUACACACACAUGCUUCAUGUACUUUGGCUUAAUUUCUUCAAGGUGAAGCAUGUUUUCUUUCUUCAAGCCUAAGCAUUCUUUUUGGUCCAGUUUCCUACAAAACUCAAAGAGAACUUGGACAAGAGGUGAUAAAAAAUCAUAUUAUGCAAACACACAAAAUUGAUCUAAAAAGUGUUGAAUUAAGUUGUUUUCACAUUUUUUGCAUAGGAUAAGUGUCAUGAAGAGUUUAUGAAAAUUAGGUAUUUUUGGCACUUAUCAACUCCCCCAACUUAAGACUUUGUUUUUCCCCAAAUAAAGGUUAAAUAAGAACUACUUGGCUUUGGAAGAAUUAAACUUGGACAAGAUCAAAACUAUGCAUCAUUCUUUAAGGUUCCAUAAUAUGUGUUUAUGAUGAUGUGAUUUUGACUCAUAAUGCUUCAAACUAAGAAUAAACACAUCUUUUCAAAAAUUCAUUUAGCAUUUUACUUAUAGAAAUUGUUAUAAAUAAAAGAGAUGCAUUUUCACACACGAUUCAAGAAUGGAACCGAAUGGGUAAGUAUUUCACUCAAAACUCAACUUGUUUUGGUUUACAAGAAUUUAAUUUGGUUUUUCUUCUCAACACUUACUUUGAUUGCACAAAAAUUUUCAAGGAUCACUAAGGUCUACCUUAGGUUGUAAUGAGGCUUGACUAUCAAAUAAAAUUGGUUUUUCAAGAUAUUCAAAAAUACUUCCAAAGUUAAAAGAGAGCAAAAAUUGAUUUGUCUUUUAAAAUGCAUACUCUUUUUCAACCUUUUUCACCUUUCUUCUUUUUCUUUCUUUCCUCAUUCUUUUUUUUGACCUUUUUAUGUAAUGUUUAUUGAUUUAUCUCAAUCUCUUUUUCCUCCUUCUUGUUUUUGGAGCAUUUCUUUACUUUUUUUAUUUGUAAAGAAAUUGAGAAUUUUUUCUUUUCAACACUUUUACAAGGCCAACCAUUCCUCCAACUUAAUAUUUUCCAUCACCCUUUCUUUUUUUGAAAAAUGCUCUCCUUUUACUUAGGAAAGUAUAGGAGAUUUUAUUUUUAUUUUUCCAUAUUAGGCUCAAGGGUUGUGUUUGAAAUAAUAAUUUUUCUUUGUAAGGCACAAAGGGGUUAACAAAGGAUGUUCAUAUUUUUGAUUGGUCAUUUUUAGUCAAGUGGUUUAUUCUAUUUUAAAGAACUUGCCUCGAUCAUUUCCUAUCAAACUGUGUGCAACCAAGUAAAGAAAGAUUCAAACAAAACCAAUUGUGCAAAUGCAAAAAGUUUCUCGCUAAGCUCACAUAAUUUUUGUGUUUGGCUUACACUCCCUCACAUGGUUGGUUUAUGUACAAAUCUUUGAUUUUCAAACAAAUUCACAAGUUCAUGAUAAAUGAUUUUCCAAAAAGUGUGCAUUUUAUCAAAGUUAUGACAUUACAAAUUAAUCAAAAAUGUCAGAUUUUCAUCUCAUGAUGUGAAUUUACAAAGUCAUUGAUCUUGUUAAAAUUUUAAGUCAAGGUGUGUUAUCUAUUUAGUUUAGUUUCAACAAUUUCACCUAUUAAACAAAUUAUCAAAAUGAAACUAAAAUAAAAGCACAACUUAAAAAAUGAAUCACACUAGGAAAAACAAUUAAAGCAAGUAAACACAAUAAAAAGAAAACAAACACACACUAAUUUUUUUAAAAAUACACCAAAAUGAAUUUCUUUCAAAAUUUAUACACACUUCCCCCAACUUAUGUUCUUGACUUGUCCGCAAGUAAUUUUGAAAAUAUUUUAAGAAAAUUUGUGUAACAUUUUGAAAGAAAUGGAAUUAAAAACUAACCAAACUUGUUAGGAGAACUCAGAAUUUCAUUCUCCUUGAUUUUACUAUCCUCUCCAAGAUAGUGGUGCCUUUAGAGCCAACUCUUUUUGUCCUUUUGUUUUUGGACUUGUUUUCCUGUAAAUCAUUAGAACUUGCAAUUUCUUUUUCCUUGAGGUUAGUCUAACAAUUUACAUGAAUUUUUCAAUUUCGAAAACAUUAUGUUCAAGAAUAAAAUUUGAUUGACAUAAAUUCCAAAUUAAACAUCGUGCUUUUAUUCAUGAAAAUUAUGUUUACAUUAAAAAUUUAAGCAUUUUUCAAGUCCAAUUGAUAAAUGGAAAUCCAAACCGAAUUUUAUGUGAUUCCAAACACCAAUAUAUCAAUUCAAACAACCACAAAUAAAUCUAUUCAGAAGUUCAUGAAUUUAUUUUUUUAAAUUGUAAACCAAACAACAACUUAGUCAAACAAAGAACACAUUUUUAGGAGUUCUCAAGUUUGGAAAAAUUAAUUUUUGGCACAAAUUGAACAAUCAUGCUUUGAGUUUAAACAAUUUUAUUUCACAACCUUAAAAAUCAUCAACUAAAGCAUGUGUAUAGAGAUGUAGGUUGAACAAUCACAAAAUAAAAUAUGAUCAUGAAAAAGUGCAUGUGACUUAACCUUUAAGGAUUAGAGUAGCUUCUUUUAGGAAUUUUAAAGAAUUAGUUUUCAUCGUUCUUUGAAAAGUCCAGCCACUAUUCCUUUCUCAAUCCUAUCCCUUUUAUGUUGUUCUUUGGAAAAGGUUGAUGAGAGGUACCUCCACAUCACCUAAAUUUUUUUAUAACAACAACAAAAGGUUUCAUAACUAGUGGGUUCUCACUCCACUAGUUCAACUUUUCUUUCUUUUUGGGUUUUUAAUUUUUAAAUGUACAAAAAAGAAAAACAAAAGCAAGAUGUACAAAACGAUAAAUAAAUUUAUACAAAAAGAAAAGAAAUUUUUAUUUACAAAUACUAAUGAUAAAAAAUAUAAGUAUGAAUUUCCAUUACCUAGCAAUUCCCCGUCAAAGGCACCAAUUUGUUGAACUAGUUAUUGUUGCUAGUUAUUAGGAAAGUUUCUGAUUUCUUUAUUUAAUGACAGGUCGAUUCUUUGUUCGUCAUCUCGGCUUUGUUGGAAUAACUUUCAACGCCAGUAUAAUGGUUUGAAGAAUGUUUCUUUAAUAAAAAACUUAGCUUUAUUGAAUUAUUAACUAUUUCAUACCAUCUCGGCUUUGUUGGAUUAAUUCCAACGUUGGUGUAAUGGUAUGAGUUUAGCAAAUUAACACAAGUGAUAAUGAGUGAUAUUUAUUUUCGUUUUCCUUUAUUAACCGGACUACUUCCUUUCGGAAGGUUGGUAAAGAAUAAAUAAAUGUUAGUUCCAGAAUUUAAAUGACAGAAAAUAAAUGUUAGUUGCGGAAAUGUAAAUGACUAAAAAUAAAAGUUAGUAGUUAGAUGACUCGUUAUAAUUGUGUAUAUUUCCUUUUCACAAAGAUACAAUUUAUGAAUUAAAUUGCACUUUGAUUCAAAGUUUCUUUUACUUGUCAACAAAUAAAAUUUAUAAGUUAAGACUUUACUAUUUUACAUUUGCAUCUCUUUCAAGAUUCAAUUGUAGUAUAGUAUAGGGUUAUGUCGAACCACAAGGAAUUGCCUAAUAGAAAUGUACUCAUACUUUGUAUCAUUUAUCAAAAGUAAUAAAGUAACAAUUAAAGUUGUUUUUGUGAUUUUAUGAAUUAAGAAACAUGAAAAAGUAAAGAACUAACUAUUUACAAAUUCAAGAAGAGAAAAUUGGUUUGAAAUAUGGAAUUAUUUCUAAACUCAAAUGAUUUUGAUGUUAGGUAUCAGUGGCUAAAAUACACCUAGAAGGGGGGGGGUUGAAUAGGUGUAGCGGUCAGAGUAUCCGCUUUUCGAAAACAAAAAAUUAUGCUGAAAUAACCCCAGAUUAAUCGAUUAACUGAACGCAAAUAAUCGAUUAACGCAAUCACUUUAAUCGGUUAAAACAACUCAGAAAUUACAAACAGAUUCGGUUUCUUACACGACAAUUAACCGAGAUUGAAACGAAUAUACAGAGCUUACAAAAUAUCAGAGUUACACCAGUAUAGUAUAGAAACAGAAUAUAGCAAUUAAAACAACUAUACAAAGUAACCGAUUAAAGCAAUAAAGAGAGAAAGAGAGAGAAAAAUCAUGCAACACGAUUUUUAUCCUGGUUCGUUUGCAUGUCCACUCGCAAACUACAUCCAGGCUUCCCGACUGAUCUGGGAGAUUUUUCUUCACUAUAAUUGAAAUAAUGUUUUACAAGCAAUUCUUCCAAUUACAACACUUAGACAAUUACUUGAAACUAAAGAACCUUAUCCCUUGGUUUGACUCCCUUCCUACCGCCCAAGAAAACCUUUCUUGCGGUGUAGCCCCAGCCAAGAACCUAUUCUUUCUAUCAAGAACUCUAAGCUAAUGAAGAUACAACACAAUCUCGUUGGUGGUAAGACACCUUGAGAUUCCCAAAGUUACAACACUUUUUACAACAAAAACAUAGAGUAAUCUAAAGCAAUUACAAUGCUCAAAUUUAACAAUUAAGACCUUACUCUAAAACUCUAACACAAGUCUCAUAUAACAUGACAAUGUAUUAGUUGAAAACAUAUUUUACAUAAUACAAAAUCUUUACAAAAACAUCAAUGAAUGCAUGAACAUGUGAGAUGAAAUGAUGAGAAAUUAAACAUGAAAUGCCUCUCAAUCCUAAAGCAUAGAAUUCUCUCUUUUCUAAUCUCACAAAUACAAUGUCAUAUAGAUGCAACAAUUAACACGAAAUAUGCUCUAACUCUCUUAAAAAUGCAACAUGCAAGUUAUGGCUUACGUUCUGAAAACACAGUUUAUAAAGAAUUACUUCAGCAACCCAGUUAAUCGAUUAAGACCUUGGUUAAUCGAUUAACGUGUUUCAAAAACGUAACUGAUUCUGUUUUUCCAAGUUUUCAGUUUCAACAACUUUUCAAAAACUUAUGUUAAUCGAUUAAAACAUACCUUAAUCGAUUAACUGCAUAUUUCCAAGUAUAUUUUCAAUUUGCAAAACUCAAAUACGUUAUGCACUUAAUUUAUACAUGUUCAACACUAAGUUUAUGCCUAGGAUGCACAGAUUACAUGUAUUUAUGUGAUGCAUGAACAUAUUAUAAAUGACAUAUCUCAAAACUAAAAUGAUUUAAAGUUUUAUGCAUAUGAGACAUGUAUUGAGUUUACCUAAGCCUUAGACUCAACCUAAACUAAUUACUAGUCUAAGUCUAAUACCAAUCUUGAGACUUAAGCACGUUGAUUUGUUGAUGAUCUUCAAGCUCUUAUAAACACAAGUUGUCCUCAUCAAAACCAAAACAUAUAGUGAGAAAGCUUUCCAAAGUGCUCAUCUUGACAUGCGCACUUUCAAAGGUGAAAUAGUGAGAAAUUAAACAUGUAAUGCCUCUCAAUCCUAAAACAUAGAAUUCUCUCUUUUUUAAUCUCACAAAUGCAAUGUCAUAUAGAUGCAACUAUUAACAUGAAAUAUUCUCUAACUCUCUAAAAAAUGCAACAUGCAAGUUAUGGCUUCAGUUCAGAAAACGCAGUUUAUAAAGAAUCACUUCAGCAGCCUAGUUGAUCGAUUAAGACCUUGGUUAAUCGAUUAACGUGUUUUAAAAACAUAACUGAUUCUGUUUUUCCAAGUUUNNNNNNNNNNNNNNNNNNNNNNNNNNNNNNNNNNNNNNNNNNNNNNNNNNNNNNNNNNNNNNNNNNNNNNNNNNNNNNNNNNNNNNNNNNNNNNNNNNNNCCUUAGACUCAACCUAAACUAAUUACUAGUCUAAGUCUAAUACCAAUCUAGAGACUUAAGCAUGCUGAUUUGUUGAUGAUCUUCAAGCUCUUAUAAUCACAAGUUGUCCUCAUCAAAACUAAACACAUAGUGAGAAAGCUUUCCAAAGUGCUAUCUUGACAUGUGCACUUUCAUUUGAAAACAGUACAAGUUAUGUGUUAUACUUUAGGUUAAUUCCACACACCGUUUCUAAAUCCCUCAUCUAGUUUCCUAAUAUGAAAAGAUGAUUUUCAAACAUUAUGAAAUACUCUAAACAAUAGAUAAGUGCCACUCGCCGGAGCAAGUUAUCACACCCUACUUCAGGCUCCAUUAACAUCAUUUAGCCUUAAUCAUAAGUGACUUAAAAUAGAUGCUUGAUAUGGCAAGUGAACUUGAAAGUGCGCAUGCCAAGAGGAGCACUUUGGAAAGCUCUCUCACUAUGUGUUUAGUUUUGAUGAGGACAACUUGUAAUUAUAAGAGCUUGAAGAUCAUCAACAAAUCAACAUGCUUAAGUCUCAAAUUGGUAUUAGACUUACACUAGUAAUUAGUUUAGGUUGAGUCUAAGGCUUAGGUAAACUCAAUACAUGUCUCAUAUGCAUAAAACUUUAAAUCAUUUUAAGUUUUGAGAUAUGUCAUUUAUAAUAUGUUCAUGCAUCAUAUAAAUACAUGCAAUCUGUGCAUCCUAGGCAUAAACUUAGUAUUGAACAUGUAUAAAUUAAGUGCAUAACGUAUUUGNNNNNNNNNNNNNNNNNNNNNNNNNNNNNNNNNNNNNNNNNNNNNNNNNNNNNNNNNNNNNNNNNNNNNNNNNNNNNNNNNNNNNNNNNNNNNNNNNNNNUCGUGUCUGAUGAUGUUUCAGGUGCUUUAGAGGAAGCAUACUCAAAGGACGUGGAUAAUGAAAAAGCAACCAAUGAAGAAUGUUAGACCAAAUCUCAGGAGCAUUCAGAUAUGCCAGAUGUGUAGAAAACUACGAAAGCUCACCCAAUCGACAAAGUAAUAGGUGACAUAUCUACGGGAGUGGUAACCCGUAGUUCCUUACGAAAUUUCUGUAAUUUUGUAGCUUUUGUAUCUCAGAUUGAGCCUAAGACCAUUGAUGAGGCCAUUGAGGAUGUGUACUGGGGUAUAGCUAUGCAUGAAGAGCUAAACCAGUUCGAACAUAACAGUGUUUGGGACUUGGUCCCUAAACCCAAAGAUCAUCCUGUGAUUGGUACCAGAUGGGUCUUCAGAAACAAAAUUGAUGAAUGAGGCUUAAUCAUUCGAAAUAAGGCACGCUUGGUGGCCAAAGGCUACAACCAGGAGGAAGGUAUCGACUAUGACGAAACCUAUGCCCCUGUAGCCAGAUUAGAGGCCAUCAGGAUGCUUCUUUCCUUUGCAUCUAUUAUGAAUUUCAAAUUAUUUCAAAUGGACGUAAAAAGCGCCUUCUUGAAUGGUUACAUUCAAGAAGAAGUUUAUGUUGACCAACCGCCUGGUUUUGAAAAUUUUAAAUAUCCGAACCACGUUUAUAAACUUAANNNNNNNNNNNNNNNNNNNNNNNNNNNNNNNNNNNNNNNNNNNNNNNNNNNNNNNNNNNNNNNNNNNNNNNNNNNNNNNNNNNNNNNNNNNNNNNNNNNNUAGACAUCAUUUUUUACGUGAUCAUGUACAAAAAGGUGACUGCGUUCUUGAAUUUGUUGAAACCUCUAGACAGUUAGCAGAUAUUUUCACCAAGCCCCUUCCACGGGAUACUUUCUAUGUUCUAAGGAGAGAACUUGGAAUUCUUGAUGAACAAUAUCUUGAUUAAAACUGUUUAGAUGUCUGCUUUAUGUCGUGUCUCUAUAUGUUUAUUUGUCUCUUAUUCUAAAUGAUAUCUUUUGUAGUGCAAAAUUAUAUCUCAUGAUAACUUCCUUACGUGAAUGUGUCGAUUAAUCCGUCAAAAUGCAUGCAUAAGCCCUAAAGAGUUAAAACCAUUCUGCUAGCUAAAAACCAUUUUUUUACCGUGUUUAAUCGAUUAAAUACUUAGUGUUAAUCGACUACCUAGGCAUCAUUUUGUGAAAAAUCAAUUUUUACAUGAUUUUAAUCGAUUAACUAUGCCUGUUAAUCGAUUAAAACCAGCAGUUUAAGUGCAGACAACACCUCAGUUUCACGUUUUUUUUGGCAUUUUUUCCACCUCUUGUCACUUUUGAGUCUCUGAAAUUGUAACUCAACUGACCCAAGUGCACUAAGGUAGAUAAACCUCACCCUAACCCUCUCAAACCAUCUAAAAGUCUCACUUUAUCAUCCUCAUUCCAUCACAUUCCCAAUUUUUCCCCAAAUUAAACCCUAGGUUAGGUUUGCCCAAUCCUUCUCUGCUCAGUCCAACAUCAAUUCGGGUUCUACAACUAAAAUGGAGCUUGGUCGCGCAAAAAGGUCCAAAACUCCUGCCAACCGUGGACGAAGACAGGAAGCUGGCUCAUCAUCCACUCGGGACCGCGGUGACCCAUUUUACUCGCUUAUCUUGCAAGAGACUCGUUUGGUGAAGUUCCAAGGACGCUAACCCACUUAUGUAAGGUAUGUCGACUUAACCUGGAUGGCGGAACAAAAUUUUAGUUUUCCGUAUGAUAUGGAGGCUCAGGGAGCCAUUAAAUUUCUAGUAUUAAAGGGACAAGUUUACCCUGCUCUAGUUAGGGAAUUUUAUGCAAAUUUCAGAUAUAAGGAUGGUAAAUAUUGGUCUAUGAUUUCUGGUAAACUGUUUGAGAUUAGUGAUGAACUGUUUAUGAAUGUUGGUGGGUUAUCAUCUUCGGGUUAUGGAAUAGGAGACUGCUCUCAUGGGUUAAGGAUAACUUUGGUCCUACUGAGGUUUAUAAGUCAUUUCUUAGAGGUCCUCAUUUGUAUAUUCCGGGACAACUGACCAAGGCUGGGUCAUUAUCUGUUGAGAACAGGCUGCUGCAUUAUGUCAUUGCUUAUAUUCUGGUGCAGAGGAACACAAAUCAUGUGCAGCCUACUGUGAAUGAUUUGCGUUUCAUGUACGUUGUUAAGAAUAAUGUAAUGAUUAACUGGCCUGAGGAAAUAUUGAAGAUUAUGAACAGUGUAUCUCUGUCUCAGUCGAAGCUUCUUCCCUACAGUAUAUUCAUUUCACGCAUUAUGGAUUAUUUACAUAUCGAUGUUUCUGACACCAUUAUUGUUGAGUAUACUGAUAAGGAUCAUCUGGUCGGUGAGAGUCUGAUUCAUAAAAUGGGUAUCUAUAAGUACAGUACUACUUGGCAAUACCAGGGACUACACUACUAUUGAUCUCGAGCUGUCCAGUGAUGAUGAUCAGGGUGGCAUGGGUGAUCAGAAUGCUACAAAUCAGGGGGAGCCCUCUAGGACAGCAUCACAGGAUUCUGUUUUCGGUAUGGCUGAGAUGGAAGCUAUAGGCUCAACAACCGCUUGGAUCUUCAUUUUCAAGGGUUGAAGGACUCAUACUUUGCAGGUAUGGAACAGUAUGAAGAGCGUCAAACUGCCUAUUCAGACAACCAAUAUCAGUCGGUGAGAAAUCUGANNNNNNNNNNNNNNNNNNNNNNNNNNNNNNNNNNNNNNNNNNNNNNNNNNNNNNNNNNNNNNNNNNNNNNNNNNNNNNNNNNNNNNNNNNNNNNNNNNNNUCUCUAGAUUGGUAUUAGACUUAGACUAAUAGUUAGUUUAGGUUGAGUCUAAGGCUUAGGUAAACUCUAUACAUGUCUCAUAUGCAUAGAACUUUAAAUCCUUUUAAGUUUUGAGAUAUGUCAUUUAUAAUAUGUUCAUGCAUCAUAUAAAUACAUGUAAUCUGUGCAUCCUAGGCAUAAACUUAGUGUUGAACAUGUAUAAAUUAAGUGCAUAACGUAUUUGAGUUUUGCAAUUUGAAAAUACACUUGGAAAUAUGUUGUUAAUCGAUUAAGGCAUGAUUUAAUCGAUUAACAUAAGUUUUUGAAAAGUUGUUGAAACUGAAAACUUGGAAAAACAGAAUCAGUUACAUUUUUAGCUAUUGAUACCUAACAGAACUAAGGUGUAAGUUAUAAUUUUUAGUUCACUUGUCAACACUUUAAGAAGAUGCAUUUUUGGGAUCAUUAAAUCAAGUUUUAGGUUCUCGAGCUAAAAUUGUAUUAAGAACUUCUUAAAGAAUCAAAACUUAACCAAAAAGUAAUAACUUGAAUGUAUUGAAAUCAAAAUAUGAGAUAAGUGAAGAGAAGAAAUAACCUUACACCAUAAUCCAAAUCAAUAUGUGGGCGCAUGAGUCAUCUAUCCAAGGAUGAGAUGCUUUUGAUUCCAAAUAAGGUUACAAAAUCAUGUUUUUGCACCUCAUUUGCCAACUCCAUUCCCUUUGAAUUUCUAUGAGCUAAAAGCCUAAAACCAAUAUAAGAAUACUCUCAAAUGAAAGAGAACCGAAAAUGAGAAUAAAAAUGGUAUGUACAAUGAUUUAAAAGUGAAGAAAUGGGUGUGCCUUUUUAUAGGUAAUGGGAGGGCCGCUUAGCCCCCUUCCUGGCCGCUUAGCUCACUGGUGGGUCAGCAGCUUGUCCCAUCUUGUCCAGCUAGCUUGGACAACCUAUUGUGGGCUAAGUUGCAUGCAUGGUGACACCUCCUACUUGCUUGUGUCAUGUAUUAGGUCAUAAACUUGGCUUAGAAGCUAGCUUUUGCUGGUUGCUUGGCUUGUGACAUCAUUCAUGACAUAACAUUCUUCGACGCUAAGAAACCAUUUUUCUGGUGGGUCAGGCGCUAGGUUGACCUAGUUCCAUGCUCAAUUGUCUGCUUGUGUAGCUUGGCUGACCUGGUGCAUGCUCAGCUGCCUGCUUGUGUAGCAUGGCUAACCUGGCCUGAUGCAUGGUGCUUGGCUGACCUGACCUGGUGCUUGGCUGACCAGACCUAGUGUUUGGUGCUUGGCUGACCUGGCAUGGUGCUUGGUGCUUGGCUGACCUGGCCAGGUGCUUGGUGCUUGGCUGACCUGGCCAGGUGCUUGGUGUUUGGCUUAUGUGACCAGUUGCUUGGUGCUUGACUGACCUGGCCUGGUGCUUGUCUGACUAGCCUAACCUGGCCUAGUGCUUGUUUGACUCGUCUAACCUGGCCUGGUGCUUGGUGUAUGGUUGGCAUGGCCUGGUGCUUGGCCUAUGGCUGACCUGGCCUGGUGCUUGACUGACCUGGCCUGGUGUUUGGUGCUUGGUUGGACAGCUUUGUCCUUGGCUCGACAGCUAUGUGAGCAUAUUUUAUUUGGCUUUAAUUUCUUCCAACCAAGACAAAGUUUCUUAGUCAUGCUUAUGUUUUAAGCAUGCACCUUACCAUGCUUAGUUUUAAGCACACAUUUUCAUGUACUUUUGGUUGAUUUCUUCAAGGUGAAUUAAGUUUUCUUUCUUCAAGCCUAAGCAUUCUUUUUGGUCCAAUUUCAUACAAAACCCAAAAAAAAAACUUGGACAAGAGGUGAUCAAAAAUCAUAUUAUGCAAACACACAAAAUUUAUCUAAAAAGUGUUGAAUUAAGUUGUUUUCACAUUUUUUGCAUAGGAUAAGUGCCAUGAAAAUUUUAUGAAAAUUAGGUAUUUUUGGCACUUAUCAAAGAGUUAGCAUAUUUUGUAUUUAAGGUUUCAUUUUCAAUUUUCAGCAUAUCAAUGAAAAUUUUCAAUUCACAUAUUUUCUUUUCAAGAUCUAAAAUUAAUCUUUUUCUAUUCAUGCAAUUUUUAGCUAACAUUUUAAGAUCUUCAUGCAUUUCAACAUAAGCAACAUAUAGCAUGUCAUACAUGGGAAAUAUAUCAGAGUUUGAAAUAGAAACAGAUGAGUGUACCUCAAUAGGCUCAUCUUGCUCACUAACUUUGCAAGAAUUAAGAUUUUGAGUCAUUAGACAAAUCUUGUUUGAUUCUUCAUCUUCCGAGAUGCUUGUUGAUGAAUCGUUCUCUUCGGGUUCAUCCCAAAAAAUGUGUACCUUCUUAGAUUUGAUGUCCUGAGAGUCUUUCUUGUGAUCAAGUUCAAUCUUCUUGGAAGAGGUAGGGCAUGUGUACCUCAUCGAACUACGUUCCCUCUUUUGUGGCAAGUUGCUUUUUCUUUGGGAUUCUUUCUCAUUUGGAUUGAACUUUCUUUAUCUUCCUUAUGAAGCUUCUAGAGUCCUUCAUUAUUUAUUAACUACUUUCUAAAUUUGUUCAUGAGGAGGGACAUAGCUUCAUCCCUUGUGUCGGAAUCGGACUCAUCAAAUUCAUAUGUCUCCUUUUGACUUAUUGAAUGUGAUUUUGUCGCUUUGAAGGAUGUUUCUUUGAGGUUUUCGUCCAUUUUUUCAUUGAGUGUCAAACAUCUUAAUUCCAACUCAAGUUCUUGAAGUUUUCCAAAUAAUGUUGUGAGCAUCAUUUGUUUCAAGUCCUUUGACUCCAUGGUGGUAGUCACCUUGGGUUGUCAUUUCCUAUCCAGACAUCUCAACAUUUUAACAGUUAUUUCAUGUUUGGCAAAUGAUUUAUCUAAUGCAAUGAGGUGAUUAAUAAUGUGAGUAAAUCAUUUUUACAAAUCAUAAAUAGACUCAUGUGGAAACAUAUGAAAUAAUUCAUACUCAUGCAUCAAUGUAUUCAAUCUAGAUCGUUUGACCUCACUAUGCCUCUGUGGGUUACUUGUAAAGUGUCCCACAUAUCCUUGGUACUAUCGUACUAAGAAAAUCUAAAGAACUCAUCGUAUGAGAGUGCAUAAGUUAUAAUACUUUUCGCUUUCAAAUCAAAUUGCACUUUUCUCUUUUCCUCGUUGGUCAAGAGACUUCUAGGUUUCUCUUUCGUUUCGCUGUUCACUGGGUGUACUGGAAUGAAUGGUCCAUAUUCUAUGGAAUCCCAAAUUUUCGUAUCAAAAGCCUCAAUAAAAAUUCUCAUUCAGAUUUUCCAGUUGGCGUAACCCUUACCAUUGAAAAUCGGAGGGCAGUCGAUGGAUGCGCCAUCACUGCUAAACAGGUUAGAAGAGCCCAUGGUAAAAGUGCCUAGGAUCAACGAUCUAAGCGACUAAGCUAGCAUGGUCGUAAUAGCUCUGAUACCACAUGUUGGGUCCCACAGGGCUCUAUCACUCACCUAGAGGGGGGUGAAUAGGUGAUAUGGUACACGAUUACCAUUGCUCGAUAAACAAAUAGCAAACAUAAAAUUAUACACUAUUUAAUCGAUUAAAUACAACUAUAAUCGAUUAAUUCAGUCUGUUUUUAAUCGAUUAACUAAACACCUUGAUCGAUUAUUUAGUUCUUGUUCAAUGAAAACAAUUUUCUUUCGACCUCCAAGAUUCAACUAAACUUAUAUGCACUUAUUACAUAAGAUUAAGAAUAGUAAAUGCACAAUACAGAAUAUGCAAUUAAUACAUAAUUAUAUGCAUCCCAAGUUAAGUAAAUAAAGUAAUAUGGAAAUGUAAAAGAUAAGGGAAAAGAAGAAUGAGACACAGAUUUUAUCCCGACUUGUUUGCGAUUCCACUUGCAAAAUACAUCCAUGUCUCCCCUUCUGAUCUUGGGAGAUUUUUCUUCAUUAUGAAAUAUUUAAUGUACUUUUACAAACAAGCUUCCAAUACAAGACGCGAGAUGCUACUUUCUUGAUCUCUGUGAACUUAAAAACCUCGAUUUGGCCUCUCUCUCUCCUACUAAGAUAUCCUAUCUUUUCGAGAUUAGGCCCCAGCCAGGCAUCGAUCAAUAUCAAGACCUCUUGCUUCUCGUAAAGACACACCUAACAACAGCUAGGAUUUUUUCCAAACAUAUUCUCUAUCAAUAGCGAUAACAAUCACACCAAGAGAAUAUGUUGUUGCCUUGGCUAACAAGUCUUUCAAGUUAUGUGUGAACCUCAAUGUGCAGAUUUAACCACUCUUCUUAGAAUCUAAGAACCCUUCUAAAAGAUCUCACAAUUGAAGAUGUAAGCAUGCAUGAAUGCAAGAUUGAAGAGGCAAGCAUGCAUCACAAAAUGUUUUGAUGAAGACAAAUGACACACAAAGGUUGAUGGAGACAAAACAGUGAUAAAGGCAAAGGAUUGAAAUCAUGCAUAAAUGUUGAAGGACAAGCUUGAGAGGAUAAGAAAAUCAACAAACAACAAGUAUCAACGAUAAAGUCAAGACUCAAGUACAUACAAGGCAAAACAUUCAAAAGAAGAUCUAGGGGUUAAGUAUUUUUAUAUCUUUAUUAGGUCUUAAGAUGUUUGCUUAGUAAGAGUCUAGGCUAGGAUGGACCCUAAUGAAAGUCUCACAAGCUAAAAUCAAUCAUAAAUAAAUGAGGCUUGCAUGCCUACAUACAUGAUUUACACGCACAUGCAUACAUACAUGAUAAUAUGUUGUGGAUGCAUUUAAAAAGAGUUUUAAAUCACACAUCAUUCAAAGACAUGCAUCAUGCUUUUACAAAUCAUGUAGGAGGUUCAUUCAUCAUUAAAAAUAUAUUUUAAAAAACCAUUUAAUCGAUUAGGAGUCAUAUUAAUCGAUUAGGAGUCAUAUUAAUCGAUUAGGAGUCAUAUUAAUCGAUUAAGUUUUGGGAACCUGUUAUUCAAUUAUGUCAGGUGUUAGUUGAUUAAGUUGGUAAGAAACCUGUUAAUCGAUUAAAUCAGUAGUUAAUCGAUUAAGCUAGUAAUUGUUUUUGUUUUCUAUUAUUUUGAAGAAACCGACUAAUCGAUUAAGGUUCAGUAUAAUCGAUUAACUAUAGUUAAAAACAUAACAGUAUAUAAACCCAAGUUUUUCAUAUUGGUUCAUAAUAAUAUAAUAUAGAUCAUAUUAGACAAUAUUGAUUUAGAGGGUUAGAACAUAUUUUCAAGAACAGAGAGUUUUACACUUUAUUGAGAAGAUCUAAAGCUCAAACUUUCAUAUCUUUAGGAAAGAUUUUCAAGUGUUCUUUCAAGAAAAUAAAAGCUUGAAUCUUUAUAAGAUACCGUUGAGCUUUCAUUGUCAAAUCUAUGAAAAAGAAACCUGCAUCUCAACAUUGUAUUUUUGUAUUCUUGAGAUCUUAUAGGGGUUCUUACAUUCGUAGAAGAUUGUAAAGUCUGCACAUAGAGGUGCAUAUGUAACUUGAAGAAUUUUUGUUAGACUUAGGCAAUAACACAUUCUCUUAGUGUAUUGUAUCACCAAAGAAAGAGAAUAGGUUUGGGAAAAAACUAGUUGUGGUUAGGUAGGUGUCUUCGCGAGAAGCAAGAGGUCUUGGUUGUAAGCAAUACUUAGGCUGGGGCUAGAGUCGCAAACGGUGAGGUAUCCUAGUAGGCGAACUUUGUAGUCAAACCGAAGUGGGGGUUUAAGAUCCAAGAAAUGAGAUUCUUGAUUCUUAUAUUAGAAUUGUGUUUGUAAGAAACAUUGAAGAUUCCAUAAUGAAGAUAAAUUCUCCCAAGAUCAGAGAGGAAGGCCUAGAAGUAGUUUGCAGUGGACAGCAAACGAACCAGGAUAAACAGUCGAGUCUUAUUCUUCUUUCCCUAAUCUUUCUACAUUUCCACAUUACAUGAUUUAUGUAACUUGACAUGCAUAUAAUUAUGUGAUAAUUGCAUAUCUGUAUUGUGAAUUUAUUGUUCUUAAUUGUUUGUAUAUUGCAUGUAAGUUUGGUUGAAUCUUGGUAAUCUUGGAUGAUCGAAAGAAUUUUGUUUUCACUGUAAUUGAACUAGAUAAUCGAUUAAGUUGUUUAGAUAUUUGAUUAUUAGCAUAUUGAAUUAAUCGAUUAAUUUGCGUAGUUAAUCGAUUAAGAGCAGAUGAUGUAAUCAAUUAAGUAUGUCAUUAAUAAAUUAAACAUUGUGUAAAUUUGUAUAAUUUUGUGUUUAUCGAGCGAUGAUCAUUGUGUACCAUAUCACCUAUUCACCCCCCUCUAGGUGAGUGGCAGAGCCCCGUGGGACACAACAAGUGGUAUCAGAGCUAGUACGACUGUGCUAGCUUAGCCGCUUAGAUCGUUGAUCCUAGGCACUUUUACCAUGGGCUCUUCUAACCCGUUUAGCGGUGAUGGUGCAUCCAUCGAGUGCCCUUCAAUUUUCAGUGGUGAGGGUAUGGCUACUGGAAAAUCCAAAUGAGGAUUUUUAUUGAGGCCAUCGAUACAGAAAUUUACGAUUCCAUGGAAAUUGGACCUUUUGUUCCACUACACGUAGUGAACAGAAAAACGAAAGACAAACCUAUAAGUCUCUUGACCAACGAGGAAAAGAGAAAAGUGAAAUUCAAUUUGAAAGCGAAAACCCUUAUAACCUCUGCACUCUCAAACGAUGAGUUCUUUAGAGUUUCUCAAUGCAAUAGUGCCAACAAUAUGUGGGACACUUUACAAGUAACCCACAAAGGUACUAGUGAGGUCAAACGUUCUAGAUUGAAUACAUUGAUGCAUGAGUAUGAGUUAUUUCAUAUGUUUCCAUAUGAGUUUAUUUCUGAUUUACAAAAAUGAUUUAAUCAUAUUGUUAAUCAUCUCAUUGCAUUAGAUAAAUCAUUUGUCAAACAUGAAAUAACUGUUAAAGUGUUAAGAUGUCUAGAUAGCAAAUGGCAACCCAAGGUGACUGCCACCAUGGAGUCAAAGGACUUGGAACAACUGAUGCUCGCAACUCUAUUUGGCAAACAUCAAGAACAUGAUCAAGAAUUAAGACAUUUGACACUCAAUGAUCAAAUGAACGAGAACAUCAAAGAAACCUCGUUCAAAUUUACAAGAUCAGAUGCAAUAAGUCAAAAGGAGAUAUUUGAUGAUAGUGAGUCUGAUUCCGGCAAGGAUAAUGAAGCCAUGUCCCUCCUUAUUAACAAAUUCAGAAAGUACCUAAGAAAGAAUGGAGGAACCAAGAAGCUUCACAAGGAAGAUGAAAAUAGUUCGAUCAAGAUGAGCAAGAAUCCCAAACAUAAUGCAUCUUGCCAUAAGAAUAGGAAAGUAGGACGCAUGAGGUACACAUGCCCUACCACUUCCAAGAAGGUUGAACAAGAUUGCAAGAAAGAUACUCAGGACAUCAAAGCUAAUAAGGCAUAUAUCAUUUUGCAAGAACUCGAAGAGGACGAUUCGUCAACAAGCAUCUCAGCAGAUGAAGCAUCACACAAAAUUUGCCUAAUGGCUCAAAAUUCGAACUCUUGCGAAGUAAGUGAGCAAGAUGAGUCUAGUGAGGUAUACUCAUGCGAUUCUAGUUCAAAUUCCGAUAUAUCUCUCACAUAUAACAUGCUAUAUGAUGCUUAUGUUGAAACGCAUGAAGAACUUAAAAUGUUAGCUAAAAAGUGCAUGAAUAGCAAAAGGUUAAUUUUAGAUCAUGAAAAGAAAAUAUGUGAAUUGCAAAAUUUCAUUGAUAUGCUGAAAAUUGAAAAUGAAACCUUAGAUGCUAAAUAUGCUAACUCUUCAUAUGAUUGUACUUCUAACUUAAAUGUGGCAUCUAUUUGUGAAAAUUGCAUUUGCAUGAAAAAUGAACAUAAUGUCUUAAAUGAUAAACUUGCUAAUUUCACAUCUAUUUAUCACAAUUCAAACAACUUACUUACUACAUAUAAAAAUGAUGGGAUUAAGUCUAGUUUGGAAUGUAUGCACACAAAUAACAAAUUUCGCAAGAAACAAGUAAAUGUGCUGAAAAUUUCACAUCGUGAAUCACCUACUUGCUUUUAUUGUGGAUUGUAUGGUCAUACCUUGAAUGCAUGUAAUUUCUGAAUGCAUGUAAUUUCAGAAUGCAUGAUGUUCCAAAUGGAAAUUGUAUGUGGAUUACUAAGAAACAAAAUCCCCAAGCUACUAACAUCAAGGGACCCAAGCUUAGUUGGGUACCCAACAAAAGCAAGUAAUUGUGUUUUGUAGGUGUGCCUAAGGACAUAUGGACUUCAAAUUUCAUAUGGGUAGCAAGUGUUCUAGGAACAUAUGAAGGUGAGAAGAUCAAACUUCUUUGACUUUGCACCAAAGGAAAGUAGACUAUGACACCUAUGAGCAACUUGUUAUCACAAAUACUUGAAGAUAGGAAGCAUUGUGCAACAAAGGUAAAACAAGGUAUCGUUGCUUAAAUACAAGCAUUACAUACCUUAAGUGUCAUAGAUAUAUUCUAAAAUGAAAUCCUAGCCAGGCCAGAAACUCAAGAAUCAUGAUAUCCCCAAAAAUCAUUUUUAGGCCUAAUGCUUUAUGUUUCACAUUUACAUGAUCUCAAAUGCAAACAUGAUAUUAUUGAAUAAGUACAUGGAUCCUUUUUUCCAUGUUUUGAUUGAUAAGUGAAUGUAGAAACACCAUUAAGGAUUUUCUAAUCAUGUUGAAGCACAACUAAUUAAAUCUCACAUUAAUGCAAACUUAACCAAAACUAUGUUUUUGGAAAGCUUAUGCGAAUUUAAUGCUUGAUUAAGCCAUCUCCAAAAGAGGAGAGGAAUAGUAUUCUUACUAUUUUGUAGGUACAAAUGAGGAUAAAUACUUCAAGAAUUGAUAGUCUAUGCAAGAAAAGGACAAGAAUCACACAUUGAAGAAAGGCCAAAGAAAACAUCAAAUAUGGCAAACUUCAAACAUCUUCAUAAAGAUGAGGUAAAGCAUGUCAGGUAACCUAAUAUCGUGAUAAAUAUUAUCCUAACAAUUGGUAUCCGAUAUAUUACCUAAGUGUUUGAAUGCAUGCUUGAAUUCUAGAUAAUCCUAAAAGUUCACUUAUCGCCAUAAUAUGCAUGUAGUCUUAAUUGUAAAAUGCACUCUUGCUUGUAUAUGCUUUUAUGCUAUUUUGGCUUUGUGUUAAGUGCAUAUUAGAUAUUUAGGAUAGAUCUUUGUCUUAGAAUCAUAGCAAACCUAUAAACUAAUUCAAAUUGUUCCAAACUCUAUUUUUGUGACUCAUUUAAUCGAUUGUUUUGUAUUUUAAUCGAUUACCUUAGAUUUUUCAAAUUAUCUUAAUCAAUUAUUUGUUCCAUUAAUCGAUUACCUGGGCUAAAAUGUUUUAAAAUCUUAAUCGAUUAAUUUGGAACAUAAUGGAUUAACUGUGUUAAAACUUUAAUCUCGUUAACUGAUUAACAUAGAGGUUAAUCGAUUAAGUGCAGUAUGCAGUAAUAAAACAGAUUCUCCAACAGUUAAGGGUUACGUCUUUACAAAUCCUUACCUCAUGAACCAUGUCCUCUGCUCUUUAGGAAUUUUGUGGUUAGUGUAAUCUUUUGGUUGUUGCAUUGUAAUUUGCCAAACUCGUUUAGUUUGUUUUUGUGCUUUGACUUAAACAAUGUAAUGACAUAACAUGCUAUGAGUGAAUUGGUUUUGUGCUGUUAAAAUCGAAUUGUGUAGGGCUCUUAUUAAUUUUGUAAAUCACUUGAUCAAUGGAUGAAAGAAUGUUAGAAAAUUUCAAAUCUAUUUGCAUUGAUGCAACUUUUCAAUUAACAAGUGGUAUUAAUUCACAAGUGGUAUCGAAAGUGGUAUGUACAUAAGUUAUAUAAAACAAUUGGCAUCUAUAUAAAACAAGUUGUAUGAAAUAUGUGAUAUCAAAAUGUAUAAGUUUCUGAUAUAGCAUGUGGCCUACACCGAAAUCUGUCAUAUCAGUAGCUUUAAUCGAUUAAGCACAGGCUAUAAUCGAUUAACCUACACCUAAAAUACAAUUAUGGUAAAAAUUAAAUCACACUUAAUCAAUUAAGUACAUAUGUUAAUCGAUUAACUUCAUUAGAAAUUGAAUUAUUUGUUUCUUCUUUUGGCAAUAUACUUUCAUAUAUGACUUUGCUUUUUGAUCAGGCCAAAAGGGGGAUAAAGGUUGUUGUUUAUGUUUUGUAGGACUUACAAGAUAAGAUAAGUUAAGGCUUCCGCAGCAAAAAAGAAUAAAUCACCCAAUGCUCAAAUUGAGGGGGAGCAGGAGGGAGAAACGUGCAUCAACUUAUAAGAACAAGGCAAAACAAGUUGAUUAUCAUCAAGCAAAUACAACAAAGAAUUGUUAGAUCCAACAAGUUGUUAACAAAUGUCAACAAGUGUAUGUCAUAUGUCAACAAGUGUUUGUCAUUAUCAAAAAGGGGGAGAUUGAAGAUGUAAGCAUGCAUGAAUGCGAGAUUGAAGAGGCAAGCAUGUAUUACAUAAUGUUUUGAUGAAGACAAAUGACACACAAAGGUUCAUGAAGACAAAAGUGUGAUAAAUGCAAAGGAUUGACAACAUGCAUAAAUGUUGAAGGACAAGCUUGAAAGGAUGACAAAAUCAACAAACAACAAGUAUCAACGAUAAAGUCAAGACUCAAGUACAUACAAGGCAGAGCAUUCAAAAGAAGAUCUAGGGGUUAAGUAUUUUUAUAUUUGAAUUAGGUCUUAAGAUGUUUGCUUAGUAAGAGUCUAGGCUAGGAUGAACCCUAAUGAAAGUCUCACAAGCUAAAAUCAAUGAUAACUAAAAGGAGAGUUACAUGCAUACAUACAUGAUUUACAUGCACAUGCAUACAUACAUGAUAAUAUGUUUUGAAUGCAUUUAAAAAGAGUUUUAAAUCAUACACCAUUCAAAGACAUGCAUCAUGCUUUUACAAAUCAUGUAGGAGGUUCAUUAAUCAUUAAAAAUAUAUUUUAGAAAACCUUUAAUCGAUUAGGAGUCAUAUUAAUCGAUUAAGUUUUGGGAACAUGUUAAUAAAUUAAGUCAGGUGUUAAUUGAUUAAGUUGGUAAGAAACCUGUUUCGACUAAUUUAGUUGUUAAUCGAUUAAGCUGGUAAUUGUUUCUGUUUUCUGUUAUUUUGAAGAAACAAGUUAAGCGAUUAAGGUUCAGUAUAAUCGAUUAAGCGAGAAGCAAGAGGUCUUGGUUGUAAGCGAUACUUAGGUUGGGGCUAGAGUGGCAAAUAGUGAGGUAUCCUAGUAAGUGAGCUUUGUAGUCAAACCAAAGUGGGGGUUUAAGAUCCAAGAAAGGAGCAUCUUGAUUCUUGUAUUGGAUGUAUUUUGCAGUGGACAGCAAACGAACCAGGAUAAAAUUUGAGUCAUAUUCUUCUUUCCCUAAUCUUUUUACAUUUUCGCAUGACUUGAUUUAUGUAACUUGACAAGCAUAUAAUUAUGUGAUAAUUGCAUAGCUGUGUUGUGAAUUUACUGUUCUUAAUUGUCUAUAUAAUUGCAUGUAAGUUUGGUUGAAUCUUGGUAAUUUUGGAUGAUCGAAAGAAUUCUGUUUUCACUGAAACUGAACUAGAUAAUCGAUUAAGUUGUUCAGAUAAUUGAUUAUUAACAGAUCGAAUUAAUCGAUUAAUUUGAGUAGUUAAUCGAUUAAGAGCAUAUGAUUUAAUUGAUUAAGUCUGUCAUUAAUCAAUUGAAUAGUGUGUAAAUUUGUAUAACUUCUGUGCUUAUUGAGCAACGAUCAUUGUGUACUGUAUUGCCUAUUCACCCCCCUCUAAGCGAGUGGCAGAGCCCUGUGAAACCCAACAACAAUUAUAGAAUAGAACGUGAGAAGCAAGAUUUCUUUAACAAAAGAUUUGACAAUUAAGCUCAACGAGUAUCUUGUUAAGAUUCACCCUUUUCUUUUUCUCAAAAGAACACUUUGAAAAUCUCUCUAAAGAUAUGAAAAUUAGAGCUUAAGAUUUUAUGAACAAAAUGUGUAAUCUUUUUAUUUGAAAUAUGUGUUCUAACUCUAUGAAUCAAUGUUCACCUUAAUAAUGAAGCAAUAUGAAAAACUUGGGUUAAUAUACCAUUUUAUUUUAAGCUGAAGUUAAUCGAUUAUACCAUAAACUUAAUACAUUAAUGGGUUCUUGAAAAUACCAGAAAACAAAAAUAGUAACAACCCUUAAUCGAUUAAACCCUUACUUAAUUGAUUAAUGGGUUCUCAAUAAAUCAAUACUUAAUCGAUUAAUGUGUUCCCAAUAAAUCAAUAUUUAAUCGAUUAAAAUAACUCCUAAUCGAUUAAUGAUUUUCUAAAAAGAUAUUUCAAUGAUGAAUGAACCUCCUACACGAUUUAUAAAAUUAUGAUGCAUGCCUUUGAAUGAUGUAUGAUUUAAAAAAUAUUUUUAAAUGCAUUCAAAAACAUAUGAUCAUGUAUGUAUGCAUGUGCAGGGAAAUCAUGUAUGUAUGCAUGUAAGUCUCAUUUUAGUUAUGAUUGAUUUUAGUUGGUGAGACUUUCAUUAGGGUUCAUCCUAGCCUAGACUCUUUCUAAGCAAACAUCUUAAGACCUAAUAAAGAUAUAAAAUACUUAGCUUCUAGAUCUUCUUUUGAAUGUUUUGCCUUGUAUAAACUUGAGUCUUGACUUUAUUUGAUACUUGUUGUUUGUUGAUUUGCUCAUCUCUUCAAGCUUGUCCUUAAUCAUUAAUCAUGUUGUUGAUCUUUAUCUAUAUUAAACUUUGUCUUCAUCAAUCUUUUGUCUUCAUCAAAAUAUAUGUGAUGCAUGCUUGCAUACACACUCUUGCUCAUUCAUGCAUGGUUGCAUCUUCCUUAAUGACAAGAUGAUUUUCUCUUAGACACAAGCUUCUUUAACGAAUGUUAUUUUAAAUCUAAAAGAUUUCAGGUAAGUGAAAUGUGAUUUUGUUUUUUAUUCUGACUAAUUAACUUAUUUUAUGUUACACAAUGUUUUUACGCAUAAAUUUGUAAUCAUUGGUGUUGUUAUCACAUGUACUCUAUGGGAAUCCCAUGCCAUGAAGUUUUUUUAAUUAUUAUUACAACAAUCAAACCAUUGGUGAGUACAUGAUUGUUCUAUUGAUACAUGUUAGAGUCAAGGAAGGACAAUGUAAUUUUUAUCGUUUAAGAAUUACUAAUUAUUCAGUAAGCAUUCAUUUUUUGACUUUUAAAUUAAUUGUGUUGUAAGUAAGUACCCACCCACUAUGAACAAUUCAUGGCGGGGAUGAAAAAUUAUGAUUGAUGUUGAAAUUCUGGAUUUUCAUAAAUACAAAGAUAGGUACAAUGAAAUUAUAUUAAGAUAUCUAUCAUAUUAUAUUCAUAAAGAAAUUUAUUUCCGUAAUUUAUGUAAGUUGAUUACAAUUUUGUUUAUUUAUCAUAUUCAUAUCUUGUUUUUGUAUUAUUUGUUUUUUAUUGUUUUUCAACUUUCAAUUUAUCCUGUGACACAUUGAUCCAAGGUAAUAGCCAAUUAUCACAAUAUUCUAAUUUAUUUGAAGAUGACUAAUUUAUACAUAAGAUUGAGGUCAAGACUAUCUCCGAAAUUGUUUCCUUAACACCAAUCGAGGUAAAUUUAUUCUAUGUUUACUAUUUUCUUAUGAGUUAUGUCCUAACAUAAUUUUAUAAAUGUAUAGGAAAUAAUGUGUGUUACUAUUGGAACAAUGACAAUGUUUAUUGUUGGAAAACAAUGAUGGUAUUAUAAUGGUUGUUUGAAAUGCACUAAGAAGGUUGAGAUUAAAAUUGGUCCCUUCACUUGCAAGUGUAUAACAUAAUCUGAGUUCUACCCCAAGGUAUAAAAAAUUAUUAUAGUAUUUCAUUUAUAAAUUGAGAGUUUUCAAUUUUUUACUUACUUAUGAUAUGGCUUUCUUUUUAGGUACAAAUUUGACAUUAAGGUUAUUCACCAAAAUGGAAGCGGAAGGUUUAUGUUUUGGGAUCGUCAAUAUGUUGACAUCAAUGGAAUAUUUGUACCCGAGCUUAGAAAUCAGAUGGUUGCAGUAAGUCCUUUUACAUAUGUCCAUUUAUAUAGGUCCAUAUUACAUUAAUACACAAUAUUAGAUAGUUAACAAACUCAUUUCUUCACAUUAGAUAGUUAACAAACCCAUUUCUUCACAUUAGAUAGUUAACAAACACAUUUCUUCAAAUGCUCCUUGCAAGGAUAAUGACUAGGGUUAAUUUGGGAGUUGGAUUUUGGACGGGAAGGAAUGGAAAAUGAAGGCUUGGGAGCCAUGAAAUACACUUGUGAGAUGGCUCCCAAGCCUUCCCUUUCCCUUCCUUCCCCUCCAAAAUCCAACUUCCAAACUAACCCUUGUAGUCAAGCUCCCUUCUGCCCUUGCACUCGAGUGCCAAUCUUCGUCUGUUAUUGCUCUAGGUUUACAUACAACUACAUUGAUCUUAGUAAAAUGUGCUUUGGAUGUGCGUGGUUCUAAGUUAAUACUAGGAGUCAAAGUACAAUCAUCCUACAACUAAUCCUCUAUGAUAAGACUAUCUGAAAAUCCAAUUUUGAUCAAGUCCAUUGCUUAUCAGUUUGGAAUAAUGGAGGUAUGUUCUGUCACUUAAAAUAUUAAAUCAUUUAUCCAUAUUUUUACUAUAAAGUUUUUAAAAUGAUAUUAAUUAAUUUUUACCUAUUGUAAACAAGGGUUCAACCUUUGAUAAACUGAAAGGAAAAUGUCAUGUCAAUGACAUCUUUCAAUAUAAAUCUGUGAGUGAAAUCCACCAUUUUUUACAAUGUUUACAGUGCAAAGAUAACUCCACUAAUAAGUGUGAUUUAUUGUCAUGUUUUUGACUUGGAUCGGUAGUCUAAUCAAACAACCUUCAAGUUGUAACUCCAAUGAAAAGAAUGUCGGCUGACAUAGAUUUGUACCUGCUACCAAGCCUCCUCUAUAAAUCCACUCAAUUGUCAUCCUCCAAUGUGGCAAAGCAUAUCAAAACCGAAUGAUUAAUUGAAGUAUGAAAAAUUAUGUAUAACAUUUUUUAGAACUAAACUUUGAUACAUAAUAGUUGGAUGUAUAUUUUGUGACUUUAUCCUUUAGUACUCAUAGACUGACUAGCAUUGAAACUCAACUCUCCCAUAUAUAUUAUGUGACUAUUAGAAUUUUAUAACUGAUAAAUAAUAAACACAUAAGUCUCAUCUAAGUGACCUCACAUUUAGUAAAUUGGGUUUUAUGCUUAUUCAUAUCUAAGUAGUUAUAAUCUAACAUGAUUGACAAAUCACCCUAAGGUAAUUCUAUCUUUUGUGGUAUAGCUUCAACAAACACAUUAACUAUAAAAUAUUUCAUUAACAUGAUUAGUUAUUUGAACACUUUACCUAAGUAUUUUUCAUGCGGAUAUAGACAUAAAACAAUGUAUAGGUAGAUAAAACAUAGUCACUGCUGAUUUAUGAUUAAUAUCAAUCAUUUUUUAAAUAGAUUAUGACCUUCAAAUGGAAUUAUUUUUUUAAAAACAUGGGAUUUGCGAUGAUCAUAUUGACUUUGUAAUAAUCUAUUUUCAUUUCCAUGUGAAAUGGGUAAAUUCAUAUUGAUUCUCAAACACUACUUUUUCGCUACCCAGAUUUUAUUUGCCCCCUUCAUUUUAUAUUCCAUAACAAUUCAGAAUGAGUUUAAUUACGGCAUUAAAGCACUAAGGUAACAAUCAAAUACUUCAUCUCUUCAUCACCUUCUUAUUCUUUAAUAGUUAUUACGGCAUGGUGUUUUCACUGUAUUUUUGUAAUAUGGCCUAAUGCAGUGCAAAUAUAGCCCACGCAAGUACAUCAUUGUAAUAUUUUUGGUAAAUAGGAAUAGUUUGGUAUUGCUUUGGGCUAUUCUUGUAUUGGGUUUCUUUUGGGUUGUCUGUUAGUGUAUGUUUGUUUAGAAAGUAGUUUGGGUAGUUUAGUUAUUUUCAUUUCUCUGGUUAUCAACUUCCUACAAAUAGGAAAGUUCAUUCUGUUUUUAUUCACACUGAGAAUUCAUUAAUCGAAGAGGCAUAGUUAGUUUCAUUUCUUGCGAAGUAAUAAAACAUCACUGCAUAUCUUCUUCUCAAAAGCUUCUUCUUUCAAUUCUGGUUUGUUCAUUUUCAUUCCCUUUCAUUAUCUUUCAGUUCUGAUUUUAACAUACCCUUAGCUUCUAUUCCUCAAUUUUCAGUCAAAUCUUCUUUUCUUCUCUAGUCUCAAUUUAAUGUGGAUUUAUAGUUAUGAGUUUUUAUUACAUCCAUGCAUCUUAAAAAGAGUUUUGAACAAGUUCUUGUUAAAAAUUUAAACAUAACUAUAUAGGCCAGUCAGAAGAUUAAAGGUGAGCCUUGUCCUAAGGAUAAGAUUUUUAGUCAAUGACCCGAAGGUGCCAUGAGAAGAUAAAAAUAAUUACGUUGGUUUUUAUAAAUAUAUGUUAGCAUCGAUAAUGCAGGCUUAUUAAAUGUAACAAUAUUUUCUUAAUAAAUGUACCAAAUUUUGCAACCUUUCUGUUUGAGGUAUCGUUUGUGCUAAUGAUCACAAUAGUAAAAGAAAUCUUUAAGAUGUAGUCUAGCCUUACAAUCUUCUAGAGACUAUAAUGAUGAAAUAAAAUAAAACUAUGAUUUGGUGAUAAAAAUAAAAAUGCAAUUAAAAUUAGCCAAUAGAACUAUAUUAAUAAUUUGAGUAAAUUACACUGAUAUCCCCUGAGUUUUAGAGAAAUUACAUAAAUCACUCCUCACUUUUCUACACCUACACAAACAUUCCCUAGUUUUCAUACUUUCAUUACACUCAUCACUCCUGCAUUGAUUUGUUUAGGGAAUACAUUGAUUUGUAUAUUAUUUGGAUUUUUCUUCACAAUGUAUCAUGUUUUGUUUAACUUAGUUGCAUUUAUCAUAUUUUUGUUUAAAAGAUUACACUUAUUUUUCAUGCAGGGAUGGUAAGUGUAAUGAAAGUAUAAAAAACUAUGAGAGGUUUGUGUAGGUAUAGAAAAAUAAUGGAUGAUUUAUAUAAUUUCACUAAAACUCAAGCGGUGUCAAUGUAAUUAACCCUAUCAAUUUAUAUUUUUUUUACUAAAGAUUUUCUUGACAAUGACAAAACUGGUAAUCUAAAUAGAUUUUGAUUAUAUUAAGGAAAUCUCUUAUAUAUCAACAUGGUGAUAUAUAACUAAUGUUAUUUUUUGUGGCAGCAGUAACAAGUAGCAACAUUCAGAAUAUAGGAUGGAAGGUAUGUUAAACAUAUAUUGACAAUUUGAUAUUAUCUUUCCACUCACAAAAAAUAUAGAAUUGUGCACUUUGGUAAUGUCUAACAUGAAUCUUCUUAUUUGCUCAUAUUAUAUAUAUACCUUCUUUAAAUUCUUCUUCUUUAUAUUUCUUAUUAGGAUGUUACAUAUUCAGAUAUUCUAAACACUUUGGUUGCAUAUAUUUUAAAACUUUUGGUUCCUUCUUUUGAAAUACACAUAAACAUAAAUAAGGGCAUACAUCAUAAAUUAAUUGACAAGAGUUGUUCUAGCAUAAUAAGGAUUCUCAAGUUCAAAUCUUUUGAAAUGUCAAGCACAAUGAUUUAAAUUGCAAAUUGCAUCACGUGAUGCAGCCGCAAACUAUUUUUUUAGUUUUUCAAUGCAAGUUUAUAUCUUGAUUCUUUAACAAUUGUCCUACCUACUAUGUACACACACAAAAUUUACACUCACUUUAUUAUAUAUUUUGGUUCAAGCCAUUGAACAGAACUGAUAUAAAUGUAACCUUUUCUUUUCUAAUGAUUCAGAUAAUGUACCUAACUUACUCAAAAACUUGAGUACACUGAGUGUGUCAUCAACAAUGCCUGAUAUGGAAGAAGAAGAACAUGAUGAAGGAAUAGUUGAAAGAGAGAACAAAGGGAAACAAAACAUGUUGAUUGAAAAAGAUGAAGAACAUAGCAAAUGGACACAUAUACCUAGUGAUAUUCUGGAAAUGAUAAUGAAGCGUUUGAAACUUAUAGAUUUCUUUGGAACUAGUGCAGUGUGUUCAUCUUGGAAGGCUACCUUUACUAAAGCCAUUGCAAACAAGCAUAUCAAACCAUUACCUGAAUUGCCUCUUGUAAUCCUGCAAUCGACUAAGAUUCCUACAUCAGCAAGCAGUGUUUUGAGCAUCAAAUCAGAAGAAGUAUGUUCUUUCAUAAACAAAAACACAAUGUUACCUGAAAGUCACCAUAUAUGUCAUGGCACAGUUGAAGGAUGGAUGAUUUUGAGUAUUUCUCUUUUUGUUGAUAUUACCAACAUCAUCUUUUUCUUGAAUCCAGUUACCGGUGAUGUAGUAAUUGCUCCUUCACCUUUGAAAUUUCCAUCAAACUCUCCUAUUCCAAGAAGAUCAAAUUUGAAUAUGGGAAGAAUGGUGGCAUCUUCUAGUCCUAAAUGUGAAGAUUGUGUUGUAGUUGGUCUCUUUAUUGAUUAUGUCCACAUUGCAUAUUGUAGAGUUAAUCAUGACAAAUCAUGGACUAUGAUUGAAGCAAAGAAAGAGGAUGCAUGGAAUUUUCUGGAUAUGGAAAUUUUCAAUGGUAAAUUGUAUGUUAGAACUAACAUGGCAAGCAGUUCUAUGUUAGUUUAUGAUCUGCAAGAUUCGACUAAUAAUCCUCCAAAGCCUAUAGUAUUAGGUGAGAUUCCACCAAUAAGGCCAUUACCAGAAUCAAGGACACAUGAAAAUCAAAUUCAUGUUAAGGGUAAUGUCAUUCGAUUUCUAACAACAGGUUAUGCAGCAGAAGAGUUAUUGCUCAUAUACUUGUUUAACAAUUAUGUUUUUGAAAAUGAUAAUGUUGCCUAUAUGAAUGUUGUCAAGCAAUAUGCAAGUCCCCCUCAAGUUACCAAAUGUGAAGUGUUCAAGUUAGACACAAGAAGUAAUAAGUGGGUGAAGCUUGAUCACUUGGGUGACAGAGUGAUAUUUCUUGGAUAUGAUAAGUCCUACGUAAUGUCAAGAACAUUACUUAAUUGCAGUGAAGAGUUAAUUGCAGAGAAUAGUGUCUAUUUUGCUCUUUACUUUCCAUGUCCAGAACCAUGGUCGAAAGCUCAAUUGGGGAGGCUUUGUUUGACUGAUAACAAGAUCAAGUACUUUUCUUUGGAGGAAUUUGGAGUUGAACUAUAUGCUUACCCUUCCUGGUUCUUACCAAGUGCUUGGUAGUUCGUUAUUUUGCUGCUUACAUUUGCUUUAGGUUUCACCAUUGUCAUCUAUGAAUUGAUUGAUAUUUUUUUUGUAUCAUACAUUUUCAUGAAUCCUCCAUGCUAAAAGUGGUGUAAUAAUGUAGAAAAAGAAUCACAUAAUUUGGAAUUAAAGUCGUUGCUGAUCGCUGUUUUGAUGCAAAAUAUAUGGUACGAUAUGCCGUGCAAGGAAGUUAAUCCAGAAAAAGAGCAUUAAAUUGUAAAGCUAACAAAACAAGAAAAGACUUAUCUGAACUCUUCCUUCAACAACCAUUCUUUUUCAAGCUCUUCCUCCAGUUUUCUCUGCAGAAGAUCCAGUUCUGCAUCAGUAGUAGUCUCACAUCUAGCUUCCUCUGUUUUUUGCUUGCAUGCAUCAAUUUUUUCCUGAUAAU
rnacentral:lncRNA from 1 species